rnacentral:lncRNA from 1 species
UCUACUACUGCAGCGGCCCGUAAGCUGCUCCUUGAUCUGUGCACAAAAAGGCAAAGAAGUGUAGCAUCAGCACAAUCGACCCCAUGUGCUGGUAAGUGCCUAGCCUAACCCCGGCAAGAUAAUGACGAGGCUAGACAGGACCUACCACAAAUAACCUAUACAGAUAUAUGCAAUAACAGGAGAAUACCCUAAUCUAAACAGCUAAAAGGGGAGGGAAACAUGUUGUGGGGUACAACAGUUUAAAUACAUAAAUCAGCUAACAAGAAUGACAACUGAGCAGAUAGCAACUGAUAAAGAGACAUCGGAAAGCUCAACGCACAGAACAAUAUACUCAGUACAUAUUCUCGUUGCGAUGUGCAACCCGAUCCUCAACAUUUAAUACCGUUGCGGGGUGCAACCGAUCCUCGACAAUUAACCCAUUGCGGCGGGCAACCAGAUCCUCAAUAUUUAGUACCAUUAUGGCGUGCAACCCGAUCCUCGACAAUUAACCCAUUGCGGCGUGCAACACGAUCCUCAAUAUUUACUAUUGCUGCGGCGUGCAACCCGAUCCUCGAUAUUUACCAACUAAAAUCACCCAACAUCAUUUGCAACUCAAGUGCGAGGGGAGUAACAUCAAAAUACAAGAGUCCUGAUGAGGGAUUAUAACUAACAGCUCAAUUAUCCCGGCAAGGGAGUGUUCAAUUUAUAUAGAAAAUCCCGGCAAAGGAAAAUAAUCACAGGACUUCCACUUCUAACACCUAACUACCAACAAUUCUAAGUCGAGUCAAUGCUCCAAUAAUCUAUAAAAUUCUCUAGUUUUCCUCAGCCGAUCACAUCAUGUGAACUCAAUCAGUUAAAGCCUCAAGCCAUACCACAUUAUUCGAAUUAAAGCAAUUUAAGACCCACGGUCAUGCUAGACUCAGGUGCAUAUAUAAUGGUCACCAUGCCUAUACACCGACUCCACAUAGCACAUAGCAAAUAAUGUCAUAAUUUUAUUCCCUCAAGCCAAAGUUAGAUCAAACACUUACCUCAAUCCGAAAAUAGCAAUCAAAACUCUAAAAUUGCCUUUCCUCUCGAAUCCAAGUCUGAAACAACGAUAUCUAGGCAUAAGUAGAUUCAAUAUUAUCAAUAAUAGCCCACUCACCCAUAACCCAACGAGUUCAAAUAUGCAAUUUAUUUGUAGAUUUGACCUCAAAUUGAGGUUGAAUCGCUCAAAAUCCCAAAAGCGCUAGUUCUACCAAAAUUUCCCAUUUCUACUUUGAAUUCAUGAUUUAAGGCUGUUGAUACCCACCUAUGUAUUUUUUUUAACCAAAACACUUUCAAAAUAGCUUGUGAAUGCAUAUAUAAGCAUCCACAAAAGGUUGGUAUUUUUCUAUAAAACCAAUUUACAAUUUAUUGUGUACUAUAAAAUUCAAUAUUAACUCAAAUCUUUUUAUUAAAUAAAUAAUUUAUUUUAUUCUCUCAUUUACAUAAAAACAUAAUUUUUGUAGUUUUUAAAGGAUUUUACAAAGCCAUUAGGUAUUUUAAAACUAAAAUUGCAUUAAAUUGCAAUUUUAGCCUAUUUCUCGAUUUAAUAAGUAUUUCAAGUACAAAAUCAUUCCUGAUAUUUUUAGUUGCUUCCUAAAUAUAUAUUAUUAACUCAUUAAUUUUAUUGGAUUUUUACAAAAUUUUUUACUAUAUUUAUAAAAUUAAAUUGGAAAAUGGCUAUAUAAAAUAAAGCCCUUUAAUUUUCCAAUUCUAGCCCAAAUUGAAACUCAAAACCACCCCAAUUUAACCCCUAAUUGACCCGAACCAAAUCCACUAAACCCAACUUAUCUCCUCUUCGCCUAUUUGUGUUUUCAAGAUGUUUGUCCUUUUAAACCUAGGGUUUUCUAUGACUUUCCAUGAUUUCUCUGGUUUUAUUGCUCUAUUUGCUACAAUGUGCUCUUUUCUAUGUCUUUGCUAUGAUUUUUAAGCAUUUUCUACCAUGACUUUAGGGUUUGGCUUGACUGUUUACUUUCUAGGGUUUUCAGUUCAUGUAUUCUAUGCUCUCUUCGUGUUGUUCUACUUUUUGUUCAUCUUCAUCUGUUAUAUUCUUACUCUCUGAUAUGCAGUGGAAACCCUAGCUAAAAGGGUCCUUUCCAUUGUCUCUAUAUGAAAACCUAGCCGCCUCUGGUUGCUUCCUUAUGUGUUUUGCUACAUGUUAUUCUAAUUGCUUCCAGUUUUGUAUGUUCAAAUCUAAGCCUCUUUUAUAUAGUCACACUUCCCCUCCUCUGAAACCCUAAUUGAUUUCGUAUAGAUGUUUGAUUCUUUAAUUGAUCCCUAUUUUUUGACUAAGUGCAAAUGGCUGGUAUCUUUACUCCUUGAUUUCCUGGAUGAUUACCUGCCUUGUGUGUUUUACCCGUGUGAUUUUCAAAUUCUCAAUAUGAAUUUACCCUAGAUUCUAUGAUUAAUACUUGAUUUUUCUUUCCAAAAUUAGACUGAAGCUUGUUUAUUUCCAGUUGGUUCCUUAAUUAAAGGGAACCUUCUCCUUAAUUGUGUAUGAUUGGUACUGCUGAAUAUUUUCUUGCCUUAAGUGAUGCAUCUCUUUCAAACUAUAAAUAGGCAAUCAUUUUUUCUCUGUAAAAUACACUGAAACACACGAGUUCCCUCUACUCUUGCUCACUAAAAACUCCUUGCUUUCUCUCUCUACUCUGUUACUCCUCACUAAAAACAGCAAACGAGUUCCCUCUACUCUUGCUCACUAAAAACUCUCUGCUUUUCCUCUUUCUUGCUAAGGAUUAGCCGACGGAAACCCAAGGCUAAUUAUAAGGAUUCUCUUUGUUUUGUUACUCAAGUUUGCACUGGUAGGCUCCUAACGUCAAUUAUUUACUAUCAACUAUCUGUUUGUUCUCUUCUUUUCUAUGUCUAUUAUGUUAUUUCAACUUAAGCCCUUGUAUGUUCAAUCCAUUCCCCUUGUCCCCUUUUCUGUUUGUUUGUUUCAGUAUUUCAUUUGAGUGCUUGCAUGUUUAAUUCCCUCCCCCCUUUCCCUAGGCUAUCAUGCUACCUCACCUAUUUUGUGUAUUCCAGCUAAGCUUCAUGAUAAUUCUCUUUCCCUUGUCCCCUUGUCUGUUUGUGCUCAGAUCCUGCAGGAUAAUCCUUAACCCAAAUCCUUGUCUGCUUAUACCUUUAGUUCAAACUACAGCAUGUUAAUCCCUAUUCCCUUUUUCCCUUUGGUUGCUUGCAUUCAUUGUUUUAUUAAGUCCAGCAUGUUAAAUACUUUCCUUUCCUUGUGUAUUGUUCAUUAUUGUGCUUCAAUCUAAUCUUGUCUGUUAAGUGCUUUUAUAUGAUUCCCCUCUCCCUUUGGUCCUUGUUUGUAUGUGAGUUGUUCUGGAUAAGGGUGGCAGUUUAUUGCCACUUCUAGUCUAGAACUAAGGCUGUCAACAAUUUUUACUCAAAGCAAUCCCAUCCCCAUCCCCUAUCGUAUGUGUUUGAGCCUCGAUAAAGGCCUGUUGGUGUCCUAAUCACCAUUUAUAUCUUUUUCUGGCCUGUUUACAAGUCUGCUCUUGUUUGUUAACACUUGUAAGAAGUCUGGGGUGUGCCAGUCUCACUCAAUAGGCUAGGUAUGACCACUUCAUACGAUGGUCUUCCUCUAAUCUAUCACCUUUACACUUAUUCUUAGUUCUUUAAGUUCUACCCCUCUCUAGUAACCCAUGCUUAGGGACCUCGGAGUCUCCUCUGAACUCGGAUGCCUUAGGGCUGGUAAUUCCACACUUGCACUAUUCCAAUUAGACUGUAGGCAAUGCCUGGGUUUCUUUGAAAGCCCUUGGAACUUUGUAACACUCUAUUAACAGAAAGGCCUCAGAUCUUGGGAGCUCGGAUUUGGUAAAAGGCAUAUUGUUGGACAUUAAAGUUGUUUCGAGAUUCCUCGGGCAUGUUAUAGCUGCUGAUGUAUUAUAAUUUCUUAUUCCUUUUAAUGUUCUUUUCCUUCCCUGCACAAAUUUGUAAUAAUUUGUAAUAAAAUAACUAGGGGGUAUAAUGAAAAGGGACAUGGGAGGGAUUUACUUUCUUGCAUUCAUAUAGAAACCAUGCUUAUAGGUUUGCAUCACUUACCAUUUCUACAUGCUUCUCAUCAUCAUAUAGAAAGCAUGACUAUAAGGAUUUACUUUUCUUGCAUCAUAGAUAUCAUGACUACAGUAGGCUUCUCAUCAUUAUAUAGAAAGCAUGACUAUAAGGAUUUACUUUUCUUGCAUCAUAGAAAUCAUGACUACAGGUUUAAUUUUUUCUUGCAUCAGUUAUGAACCAUGUUUUAGGACUUUACUUUGUUACAUCCAUAUUAUACCAUUACCAUGUCUAUUUUGCACUACUGCAUCAGCACCAUAUAGAUGUCAUGACUAUAGGUUCUUGUUAUUACAUCAGCUCCAUAAAGAAAUCAUGUUCAUAAUUUCGCAUUUUUAAUCUCGCCUAGAAGGCAUGCCUAUUGGGACCAUAUAAACGCUAGGCAAAGCAGUAGGUCGUCUAAAAGCAGUAACUAAAGGGUUAACAAGUAUGUUAUAAGUCCAGACUCGCCCAGUGCUUCAACGUUUUGGUUCAACUUGUCCUAAAUCUGUUUACUCUGAAACGGGCCCAAGUCUGCCCCUUUUUCGUAAUGCCUUGAACCUAUGAAACUGUUUUAAAGACUAAAUCUGUACUUCCAAUUCCUUGUCUGUUUAAGUUUAAAUGCUUCGAGAUCUUUUAAAUUUCUAUCUUUUACCCAAAUCAGUACGGCUAACUCAUAAGGCCUUUUCUAAACUUGUCUGCAACUUCAAACCCUUUUAAACAGACCUUUGUUUGAAUUUUCGUUUUCUUUUAAACCAAAUUAUUUUAAAUCUUGUCAACUCCUAAAACGGGCCCGGGGGGCUCGAAGCAGAUUUUCUAUCCAACUCUUAUGUGUUAAACUAAUCUAUUUGCUCUCUUAACCUCUUUCAAAAGACCAAAUCAGUAAUUGAAGUCAUGCUAAACUAUUUGUUGUAUGUUACGGGGUUUAAUUAUGCCUUUAACCAUUUACUUGCGUACCUCUUAUAUGCUACUUGUUUUUUACUGUCGCUCUAGUAUUUUUACCUGUGAAAACUCCAUAUAUAUACCCUAUCUCUCUCUUCCCCCUUCUUAGGAUUAGAAGUCCUAAUAUCCCAAGACUGACAGUUUGGGACGGGUAUUAGCAUGCAAUAAGUAAACGGUACCAACGCGUUUAAAUACCUUAACGGGGUGGGAAGGGUAGAAUAUGGAGAUAAUGACGAUGCGAUAAUAUCAUAGAGCGACCCCUCUUUGGGUAUAUGUGUGAGAUAUUGCAUCGAAUGAUCCAUAUUAUAGUUAAACCCAUGAACCUUCUUUUCAUUUGCUUUAUUUAAAUGCUUUCUUCUAGUAAUGCUUUUCAAACUGGUCCUCUCUUAUUUCAAACUUAUGUCCUUUUUUAGCUUUUAAGUUAUGUGAAUACAUGUGCACUUUAUUUGUCUACUUGCGUCAUCUUCUGUUUAAGUCACAAUUAGCAAAAGUCACAAUUAGCACGGCCAGGAACCACAUUUGUGGAUCUUGAGGGCAUCAUCUUUUGAUAAAGUCACAAUUAGCACGGCCGGGAACCACAUUUGUGAAUCUUGAGGGGUGCCUAACACCUUCCCCUCGAGACAAUCUCAAGCCCUUACCCGAACUCUGGUUUAACUCUCAAAAUCUUCUCUUCUCUAAAACUUGUCCUAAUAUAGUAUAAUCAUUAGGUGGCGACUCUUCAAAGUCCACAACCCAAAUUCCCUGAAAGGGGAUAAAAGAGUUGUUUUGCCCAUAAUGUAGUAAACCCGAUUUCUGCUUAGAAAAGGGGGCGUCGACAUAGAGUACACUGUGAUUCCCUUUUUAGAGAAUGGACAAUUCCCAAACGGGAAUGAGAGUUGUUUUACCCAUUAUGUCGUGAAACCCGAUUUCGCUUCUGAAAAAGGGGGGCGUCGACAACAUGGCGACUCUGCUGGGGAAUUUCUUUUAGGCUUUUACCACUACGUGUUUUGUGACUUUAUUGCCUUCUUUAUUUAUUGCUUCAAUUAUUUAUUUUCACAAUUACUAACUUGUUUAUUCGUGUUUUUCUUUUUCUUUAACUGUUUAAUUGCUUUAUUGUAUUUACUUCAUUUCAGUUCUGUCUUUAAUUUCGAGCAUUCAUUAUUGUAUUUUUCUUCAUGUCUUUCUUUUUCUUUAAUUGUUUUACUGCUUUAUUUUAUUUAUUUCGUUUCAAUUCUGUCUUUAAUUUUGAGCAUUCAUUAUUGUAUGAACGUUAAAAUACAUGUACUUAUUUCCUUAUUGUAAUUGCAUCCUUCAACAUCAUUUUCCACUCGUGCCNNNNNNNNNNNNNNNNNNNNNNNNNNNNNNNNNNNNNNNNNNNNNNNNNNNNNNNNNNNNNNNNNNNNNNNNNNNNNNNNNNNNNNNNNNNNNNNNNNNNNNNNNNNNNNNNNNNNNNNNNNNNNNNNNNNNNNNNNNNNNNNUAUUAUAAACCCCCUAAAUUUGGCAAAGGCAUAUUUGCGGUAAAACCAGUCGAUCAACGGUGUAGUCGACGGUUCUGUGCCUUUCCCUCUUGAGUUUUUCUCUCAAGGGUACCUUGUCUAGCACUUCAAAAGUAGAAACCUUAUUCUAUUUAAUUGUUCAUGCAUCAUGGUCAAACAUAACUGAGUCAGUUAUGUUGUCCGCAUAGUGACUCAUUACGAUAGCCUAAACCAAAGUCCAUCGGGUUUCCUGGAAACCCAAAUGGACAUUCACGUUAUGUGCAUUGAUUUGGAGAACUAAAUGCCUCUUGCUAAUUAUUGAUUUAAAUAGUCGAGUCCGGUGGGUCAAGGGUCUAACUCUCUAUUUUGCAGGAAAUGAGGCACGAGGUCCCAGGUUCUGUAUGGUAUCAAACAUUCAUCCAAAGUUGCUAAGAUGGUGGGAUGAUUUGUAUGGGAGUGAUCGUGUUUUUGUUCGCAAGCACUUAGGAAAUCUUCCUUCACUUCUGGAAGUUAGGCCAGAUAACAAAGUUGUGAAAGCUUCUAAUAUGUUUUUGGAUAGUGAACGGUCCGUCUUCCGCAUUGGGGGUAUUGAAAUUACGCCGCUAUUGGAAGAAAUUGGAGGUCUAGCUGGAAUUCCUUGGGAUAGCACGGGGUUGUUUAUGCCGGAAAAUAGCAAAGGUAGGGGGUUCUUGAAAAUGAUGGGGCUCAAGAAGAAUCCUAAUCUGACCAGUCUGAAGGACUCCUACGUAUCCUUCGACUUCAUGUAUGAAAGGUCGGACAUAGAAAAUCAUACCGCAAUCACAUGGAUGAGUUCGCCCUCACCUCUUUGGGGCACAUACAUAGGAGGGCUUUUGUGUUCAUGUUCUGCUUUCUGGGAAUGAUAGUUUUUCCGAUGAAGAAGGCUAGAAUCCAUACAAGACUAGCCAUUGUAACCAAAACCGCAAUGUAAGGUAUCAACGGACAGACAUUCAGCAUAGCACCCCUGAUGCUCGCUGAACUGUACCGAGCCUUAGAAAAAUGUCAACAACGGGCACCGCACCUUGAAGGGUGCAAUUUUCUACUACAACUCUGGCUCAUCGAGCAUCUUCAGAAGGGAGACUAUAGACAAGAAAUUGUGUGACGAGAUUGAGAUGACCAUAUUGCUUCCAUCAUCCAAAGCGGAUGUACUUCAUGCCGGACAUGUUCGCUCACCCGGAAGUUGCCAGUGGAUGGGUGGAACUAUUAGGGAAUCUGAGGGAAGAGCAGUUACAAUGGAUGUACUAGUGGUUUCCAACUGGAGAGUUUAUCAUUCAGUCUAGGGAUGCACCAUUCCUUGUACUCAUCGGCAUAAGAGGAACUUACCCUUAUGUCCCUCUUUGAGACUUGAGGCAAGCAGGAAGGAAGAAAAUUAUACCAAGGGUUGGGCUCAGCAUAUGUGGCACUCCAAAAUCAUUUUGGAAUAGGAUUCUAUGGAGCCAGACAGGUAUCAGGCGGGGCAUGCACCACUUUAUCCGGGUGGUUAGAGGAUGAUCACAUUGGCUUGGGAAGAACGAGUUUUGUCCAUGGUCACAGGGUUAUUGCUGGGACUGCGCGAGCUGAUGAAACUGUACGAGGGAGGCAAAUAUACUGAAUCUGGGGAAGGUCCUUCUAGGACCAAGUAGUUAGGAUCUUACCGCUUUCCUGAUGUAAUAAGGCCCUUGGCCAUUAGUGACAAUUGUUCUUUAUUUCAAAAUGUUUUGACUCGUUCUAUUUUCUAUCGAUAAAACGAGACAUUCGGUAUUGCGAGUUCUCCAAAUCAUAUUUGUCGCUAGGCCUACCUUGGGCACAACGAGGCAUCCAAAUAGGAAACAACUUAUGCUCCUGCAACAUUUUGUUUAAAUACCGCAAUGUUUUCUUUCUCAAAAUCCACACUAACUUUUUACCUUUUGUUUUUCUUUUGUUUUUAUUCCACUCCCCAAAGGUUAGUUCCUGCAUUCUGGCACCAUCAGCAUAUUUAACUAGAUCUAAGGGUCCUCCUCCUCCUCCGAGUCCUCCCAGAAAUAGGAACAAAGGGAAGAUGGCAGAUAAUGAAGCAAGUAAGGAAAUUGAAGGAACUUCUCAGGGUACCCCGAUCACCAAAGAAACUGCUGCCCACUUGGAGCAAACUUUGCUAAGGUUUCGAGAAGAAUUGGACCAGGUCCGGGAUCACCAAAGAAACUGUUGCUCACUUGGAGAAAACUUUGCUAAGGUUUCAAGAGGAACUGGACCAGGUCCGGAUUUUUGCAAGCUUUUCCGUCUCCCUUGCUGCUGAAGAUGUCAACAACCAGGUCCCUGCACCUCCAAAGAAGAUUCCAACCCAGGUUCGCAACAAUGCUCCACCGCUCAUCCCUGAGCCUCAAAAAGCUCCAAACCACCAGGAUACCCCUAUCUUUGUGGACACUGGGCCAUACUAUACACAGCCUAUAUCAGAUGUGUCAGAGUCAAAUUCACUUAUUUAGAACUUGGUUGCUGAACUCAAGAAACUCACUAGCAGGGUUCAUGUCUUGGAAGGUAACAAAGGUGUGAAAGUAAAACUUGGCUGCUAAACUUAAGAAACUCACUAGUCGGGUUCUAGGCGUGGAAGGUAAUAAAGGCAUGGAAGGUCUGAAUUAUGAAGAUUUGUGCGUUCAACCCAGUGUCGAACUCCCGGAGGGGUACAAACCUCCUAAGUUUGAGAUGUUUGAUGGUACGGGUGAUCCCAGGGUUCACCUCAGGCUGUAUUGUGACAAGCUAGUGGGAGUUGGUAGAGAUGAGAAGAUCCGUAGGAAACUGUUCAUGAGGAGUUUAAAAGGUGAUGCGCUAUCUUGGUAUAUCAGCCAAGAUGCGAAGAAGUGGACUAGUUGGGUAAACACGGCAUCCGAUUUCAUGGAUCGUUUCAGGUUCAACACUGAGAACGCGCCAGACGUGUUCUAUAUCCAAAGUUUGAAGAAGAAGCCUACUGAAACCUUUCGCGAGUAUGCUACUCGUUGGAGUUCGGAAGCUGCCAAAGUCAGGCCGGCUUUGGAAGAAGAAAAAAUGAACAGAUUUUUUGUUCGUGCUCAGGACACACAAUAAAUUUGAAGAAGAAUCCUAUUGAAACCUUUCGCGAGUAUGCUACUCGUUGGAGGUCGGAAGCUGCCACGGUCAGGCCGGCUUUGGAAGAAGAACAAAUGAACAGAUUUUUCGUUCGUGCUCAGGACCCGCAGCAUUAAGAGAGAUUGAUUCUAAUAGAGGGGCAGAAGUUCGCUGAUAUCAUCAAAUUGGGAGAAAGAAUUGAAGAGGGUAUAAAAAUGGUAAGGUUACUAACCUUGAGGCACUGCAGGCCACCAACAAAGACUUGCAAUCUGGUGGUUUGUCAAAGAAGAAGGAUGUAAACUCCGUAAUGGCUGCGCAAAGAAACCACUCUCCCAUGAAACUCCACUCACACACCAACCCUCUCUAAAUUACCAAGAAUAUUUACCUACCUACCAAAACCCACAUCCAGUCUACCAAACAUCUCCCUCACCAACAUAUAAGCCCACCUCGCCGGUAUAUUUCCAACCCGCACCCGUAUACUAAGCUUACAACUCCCAACCUCCUCACUAUCCAUCACCGCCUAUCCGCCAAAACUUCCCACGACCGAGACCAAACUUUGACCGCAAACCGCCCAAAUAGUACACCGCUAUUGCUGAACUCAUUGACCAACUUUAUGAGAAGCUCAAAGCCGCCAGAUAUGGUACACCCAUCCAAGCCAUAACCCCAAAAAACCCCUCCCAAUGGAUCGACCCAAAUAAAACUAGCGCAUACCAUUCGGCGAUGAAGGGCCAUACCAUCGACGAGUGCCGCUCGUUGAAAGACAAAAUUCAGGACUUAAUUGACAACAAGGUCAUCUUGGCUAAAGCGCCUGCUCCUAAUGUUCGUAACAACCCUCUGCCAGACCAUAAAGGUGGAUGUGUCCACAUGAUUAAGAUCGAAGAUGAUUGGGACCCCGAAGGGUCGAUUGGCUUGAUAUAUGAGGGAGAUAAGCCCAAGAAACCAGCAGUCACUCUUAAUCCUAUUGUUGUGAAAAUUCAGCCAUAUCAGGACAACGUGGUGAAUAUAUUUGUACCAUUUGAGUUUGAGGCACCUCCUGCAAAGGUGCCAAGGCCAAUUGAAGUGGAGUUCCGGACUCCAAAGAUGCCCCCACCAAUCGAAGUUUCUAUGUUACCUCCAAAGGUGCCCAUUCCAGUCACCAUGUCAGAAAUAACCCCAUUUCAAACAAAUGUCAUACCCUAGGACUACACAGCCGAGGCGAGGAGGAAAGCCAAAGCAUGCACAGGUGAAGCAAUCGCCGCGCAAGGUAUGACUAGAACAGGCAGGGUAUACACGCCAGAGCACCUAGUUGAGUCUAGCAAGCAGGCCUCUGGACGUCCCAUUGAAACUGGACCUGACGAUCUCUGGAGAAAAAUACAGGCUAAGGAAUAUUCAGUUGUUGAAAAGCUAAACAAGACUCCGGCGCAUAUUUCCAUAUUAGAAUUGCUGCAAAGUUCCGAGGCGCAUAAGAACGCCUUAAUGAAGAUAUUAAGCGAGGUUUAUGUCCCGAGCAACAUAACAUGAGGAGAAAUAGCCAACAUGAUAGGGAAGGUACUGGAAAGUCAUAAAAUCACUUUCCACGAGGAUGAACUACCACCUGAAGGGCUCAGCCAUAACAAAGCACUGCACAUCACUGUGCAAUACGAGAAUCAUUUCAUCACCAGAAUCCUAGUCGACGGAGGUUCUAGUCUAUACAUCUGUCCACUAAUCACCCUCAAGAAGUUGGGCAAAGGAUUGCACGAGAUAAAGGAUCGGGAUAUUGAUGUUAAGGCCUUUGACGGUUUUAAGAGGUCCACUCUUGGGGAGAUUAGCCUUUGUUUGCAAAUGGGACCCACUUGGUUUGAUGUCGACUUCCAAUCUAUCGACAUACCAGCAUCUUAAGACUUACUGCUGGGACGACCCUGGAUCCACGCAGCUGGGGCUGUGGCAUCAUCCUUACAUCAGGCUCUGAAGUUCGAAUGGAACCAUCAGGAAGUAAUCAUCCAUGGCGACUGUAGCAACCACAUAUACAGUCACCAGACCAUUCCAAUGAUCGGAGGCAGAAUGAGGAUAGGCGGAGAAACAUAUCAUCAUAUUGAACGGGUCAAUGCAGUGGAAAAUGGUGGAGCAACAAGUUUGAAAUCAUUCUAAAUUGGAGUGGUUAUGAACAAGGGAAAGGACUUGGUAAGAAUCUUCAAGGAAUCACCAAAUCUAUCCAGUUGAAGAAACAUGGCACUACCUUCGGACUGGGGUACGAGUACACUUGGCAAGAAUUCUGAAACUAGCCACCACCAUGGCGCAGCCCAUACUACCUAUUGGAGUGCCCCAUACCUCAGUUGGAGCGACAUUUCAGCCAGCCGACACUCUCUACGGGUCAGAAGAAGACGAGGCUCUUGAGGCAAUGAAGAACAUGUUUCUAGAGGGCAUGGACGGUUGUGUGAUCUUUGAAGAUGAAAGAAAGGAAGGCCCUUCCACUCAGGCUGUGAACCGAGGAGAAUCCCUCACCAACUGGUCAAUCAGGACCACCAUCGCCCAAAAACCUUCCGGGUUGCAAGGCUGAACAAGCAAUCAUGCAUCUUUGUUUUAGUUGUUUUCUUUAUUUUCCGCAUUUGCCUUUACUUUCCAAAAGAGCUCCAAUGUUUUGAAAAUUAAUGAAUUUAAUCAAAAGCAUUUUCAAUUUAUCAAAUAUCUCGCUAUUUAUUACUUUCUCUGCUAUUUACUUUAUUUUCACACAGCAUUACUAUUACGUAUCUUGAUGAUGAACCAACAACUGUAACUUGCAAUGAGGCUAUGGAACAAACAGACAUAGACUCAGAGGAGGAUGAUGUACAAGAAAAAGUUGUCAGAGAGGCCGAGAAUUUUGAAAAUAGACAUAAGUCCAACUUGGAUAAAACCGAAGUCAUCAAUUUGGGAGAUACAGAUAAUGUCAAAGAGACGCGCAUCAGCGUGCAUUUAUCACAAACGGAAAAAGAGAAAUAUAAAGAGUUCAUAAAAGAAUACGAGGAUAUAUUUGCAUGGUCCUACGAUGAUAUGACCGGCCUCAGCACAUCCAUCGUCGCUCACAAGUUGCCAACAGACCCUGCAUGUCCACCGGUAAAACAAAAACUCAGAAAAUUCAAGCCAGAUAGGAGUUUUAAAAUAAAAGAAGAGGUCACCAAGCAGGUCAAAGCCAGAGUUCUUAAAGUGGUACAGUAUCCAACUUGGUAAGCUAACAUUGUGCCAGUACCAAAGAAGGAUGGGAAAGUCAGAGUCUGUUUCGACUAUCGGAUCUCAAUAGCUAAAAUUGUGCCAGUACCGAAGAAGGAUGGGAAAGUCAGAGUCUGUGUCGACUACCGGGAUCUUAACCGGGCCAGUCCCAAAGACGAUUUCCCCUUGCCAAACAUACACAUUCUGAUAGACAACUGCGCCAAGAAUGAGUUGCAGUCAUUCGUCAAUUUCUUUGCGGGGUAUCAUCAGAUAUGGAUGGAUAAAGAAGAUGUAGAGAAAAUGGAGUUCAUCACGCCUUGGGGAAUUUAUUGCUAUAUAAUGAUGAUGUUCGGUUUAAAGAAUGCAGGAGCUAAUUAUAUGAGGGCCAUGACUACCCUCUUUCAUGACAUGAUACAUAAGGAGAUUGAGGUAUAUGUGAUUGAAGAAUGCAGGAGCUACUUACAUGAGGGCCAUGACUACCCUCCUCCAAGACAUAAUACACAAAGAGAUUGAGGUAUAUGUGGACGAUGUCGUCAUUAAGUCCAAGAAGGCUGAAGCUCAUAUGGAGGACCUUCAAAAGAUUUUCAAGAAACAAAGGAGGUAUAACUUGAAACUAAAUCCCACCAAGUGUGCGUUUGGGGUCCCCGUGGGAAAUUUAUUGGGUUUCAUUGUGAGUCGUCGUGGAAUAGAGCUGGAUCCAUCAAAGGUCAAAUCCAUUCAGGAAUUGCCACCGCCGAAGAGCAAAAAAGAGGUAAUGGGUUUCCUGGGGAGACUCAACCAUAUCAGCCGAUUCAUAGCACCUAUCGUCAAGAUGUUGAAAAAAGAUGCUGCUACCAAAUGGACCGAUGAAUGUCAAAAGGCUUUUGACAAGAUCAAGGAAUACUUGUCUACGCCUUUCAUAGCUCAGUCUACCGUCAUCUGGGAACCUAUCUUCAAGAUGCUGAAGAAGGAUGCCGCCACCAGAUGGACAGAUAAAUGUCAAAAGGCUUUUGACAGGAUCAAGGAAUACUUGUCUACGCCUCCGGUACUUGUUCCGCCUGAGCCUGGGAGACCCUUAUUGCUCUAUCUCACAGUUUUGGACGGAGCAUUUGGUUGUGUCUUGGGACAACAUGAUGAUACGGGGAGAAAGGAGCAAGCUAUUUACUACCUCAGCAAGAAAGUUACCCCGUACGAGGCUCGGUAUUCUUUGCUAGAAUGCACUUGAUGUGUUUUGGCUUAGAUAGCUCAGAAGUUGAGGCAUUAUUUAUGCGAUUACACUACCCACCUUAUAUCAAGAAUGGAUCUACUGAAGUAUAUUUUUCAGAAGCCCAUGCUCACUGGCAAGCUCGCCAAGUGGAAAAUCUUGUUGAGUGAAUUAGGCACUGUCUAUGUCACCCAAAAGGCAGCUAAAGGGCAAGCUUUGGCAGAUCAUCUCGCAGAAAAUCAUGUGGAAGGGGAGUACGAACCAUUGAAGACGUAUUUUCUCGAUGAGGAAGUAGCUUUUAUAGGAGAGGACAUUGCAGAAUCCUAUGACGGUUGGAGGAUGUUUUUCGACGGGGCCGGAAUUUCAAAGGAGUUGGUAUCGGAGCAGUUCUGGUAUCAGAAACCGGUUAGCAUUACCGUAUAUCCGCCAAGCUCAGGUUCCCAUGCAUCAAUAACAUGGCCGAGCAUGAAGCUUGUAUUUUGGGUCUUAAACUGGCCAUUGAUAUGAACAUCCAUGAGCUGCUAGUGAUUGGGGAUUCAGACCUACUCAUACACCAGGUUCGAGAAGAAUGGCCAACCAAGAAUUUCAAGAUACUCCCUUACUUGCACCACAUACAGGAGUUGAGAAAGAGGUUCAAAAAACGGAAUUCUAGCAUGUUCCGAGGAUACAGAAUAAGUUCGCAGAUGCGCUUGCCACUUUAACAUCCAUGAUUCAGCAUCCAGAUACAAAUUUCAUCGAUCCUAUCCAGGUCAAGAUUCAUGACCAACCGGCAUAUUGUGCGCAUGUUGAGGGAGAAGUCGACGGAAAGCCCUCGUUCCAUGACAUCAAAAGGUACCUGACAACAGGAGAAUAUCCGGAGCUUGCUAAUGCUACUCAGAAGCGCACGCUUCGAAGGUUGUCCAAAAAUUUCUUUCACAGUGGAGGAAUCCUGUAUCGAAGGACUCCCGAUUUGGGACUAUUAAGGUGUAUCAAUGGGAUAGAAGCAACCAAGUUACUGGAAGAAGUGAACUUAGGGACUUGUGGGCCGCACAUGAACGGUUUUGUUCUAGAAAAAAAGAUACUCAGGGCAGGAUAUUUUGGAUGAUUAUGGAAACACAUUGCGUUCAGUAUGUCCGUCCGUGUCACCACUUCCAGAUACAUGCGGACAUGAUAAAGGUACCUCCGAACGAGCUCACUGCAAUGAGUUCACCAUGGCCGUUUGCUCUUUGGGGAAUGGAUGUUAUUGGACCAACCGAGCAUGCCGCAUCAAAUGGACGGAGGUUCAUUCUAGUGGCAGUUGACUACUUUACUAAAUGGGUCGAAGCAACAUCAUAUAAAGCAGUAACCAAGAAAGUCGUGGCAGACUUUGUCCGGGAUCGUGUUGUCUGUCAAUUGGGUAUUGCAGAGUCAAUCAUCACUGAUAACGGUUCCAAUCUCAAUAGCGAUUUGAUGAAAACAAUGUGUGAAACUUUCAAGAUCAGACACAUAAAUUCUACGGCUAAUAGACCUCGGAUGAAUGGAUCCGUGGAAGCAGCAAACAAGAACAUCAAGAAAAUACUAAGGAAAAUGAUCGAAAGGCACAAGCAGUGGCAUGAGAAGUUGUCAUUCGCUUUAUUGGGUUACCGUACUACAGUUCGCACAUCAACUGUGGCAACUCCCUACAUGCUGGUUUACGGUACAGAGGCGGUAAUUCCCGCCGAGGUAGAAAUUUCUAGUUCUCAUAUCAACCGGGGAAACCCCUUACAUGAUAGUUUACGGUACAGAAGCGGUAAUUCUCGCCGCGGUAGAAAUUUUGUCCUUGAGAAUCAUACAAGAAGCUGAGCUAAAGGACGCAUAGUGGGUCAAGGUUCGUUACGAGCACUUAGCCCUUAUAGACGGAAAAAGAAUGAACGUUGUUGGUCACGGUCAGUUAUAUAAUAACAUAAUGUCCAGAGCCUUUAACAAGAGAGUUCGACCAAGGAAGUUCGCAUCAGGGCAGCUGGUGUUGAAGAAGAUAUUUCCACAUCAAGAUGAAUCCAAGGGGAAAUUCUCUCCCAACUGGAAAGGUCCAUACAUGGUUCACCGGGUUCUAACUGGAGACCAAGGGAGUUUACACCGGGACAGUUGAUGUUGAAGAAGAUAUUUAAACAUCAAGACGAGGCAAAAGGGAAGUUCUCUCCCAACUGGCAAGUUCCGUACAUGGUUCACCGAGUCCUAACUAGAGGAGCACUUAUUCUUGAAUAAAUGGAUGGAGAAAUCUGGCAAAAACCAAUCAACUCAGAUGUAGUGAAGAGAUAUUACAUUUAGUCAGUAUGUUUUUACUUAUGAUGUAAGUUUGAACUACGUCUGACCCGAUUCCUGUUUAAGAGGAAAUACGUAGGCUACCCUAUGGGUUCGGUCACAUCAUUAAUAAAAUUCCAUUUUACCCAUAUUUGGAACUGGGCAGAAUUUUGAAGAGGACCCUCAAAAUUCCGAAGUCAACUAGUCCAUUUUCACAUCAGCAGCGACCCAGAAAAACUCGGCCAGAAUUUUGAGGAGGACCCUCAAAAUUCCAAGAUCAAUCCGCUUUCAGUCAUUUAGCACCACCGUCAACAACGCCAGCUCAGUAAACUGGGGCAGAAUUUUGAGGAGGACCCUCAAUAUUCCGGAGCCAGCGAGGUUUCCAUUCUUUGAACCACGUUGCAGUUUUGGUUCAUCAUAAAACAAAAUUAUCUUUUGCUUUACUUAUACACAUACAUUUGCAUCAUGUGUGCCAAACUUUGCAUAAAAUCAUUUGGAUCACUGUAGUUCAGCAACGCUACCCCGAAUGGUACAAAACGCCAUGAGUCAAGGGAGGAGAACUAACCUUCCCCCUUACAGAACUCACGAUUUGCCUUUGAAUGCAGGACAAGACAAUAACGCAAUUGUUCCCUGGGGAUGAAAUACCCAAAACAACCCUGGAUUCGCAGAAAUUUACUAUCUACAUGUGGACAUUUCCCCUGCAUUCAUGAUAUUGCAAUUAUCUACCAGCUAAGAAAAUCACCACCAUCCUCUCCUUUAUAUUUCUGCAUUGCAUAAGGAUACCUCCAUCCUGCAUUACAUAAGGAUAUCUUCUGCCUUUCGAGACUAAGCUCUGUCUCCAUCUGCAUUUUUGCAUUGUAUAAGGCAACUCUCUGCCUUCCGAGGCUAAGCUCUGCCUCCAUCCUGCAUUACAUAAGGCUAUCUUUUGCCUUUCGAGACUAAGCUCUGUCUGCAUCUACAUUUUUGCAUUGGAUAAGGCUACUCUCUGCCUUCUGAGGCUAAGAUCAGUCUCUAUCCCGCAUUGCAUAAGGCUAUCUUCUGCCUUUUGUGACUACACUCUGCCUCCAUCUGCAUUUUUGCAUCGCAUAAGGCUACUCUCUGCCUUCCGAGGCUAAGCUAUGUCUCCAUCCCACAUUGCAUAAGCCUAUUCUCUACCUUCCGAGGUUAAGCUCUACCUCCAUCUUGCAUAAGGCUAUUUUCUGCCUUUCGAUACGAGGCUCUAUCUCCAUCUGCAUUUUUUGCAUAAGACUAUUCUCUGCCUUCCGAGGUUAAGCUCUACCUUCAUAUUGCAUAAGGCUAUUUUCUUCCUUUCGAUACUAAGCUCUGUCUCCAUCUGCAAUUUUUUGUAUAAGGCUAUUCUCUGCCUUUCGAGGUUAAGCUCUACCUCCAUCUUGCAUAAGGCUAUUCUCUUCCUUCCGAGGUUAAGCUCUACCUCCAUCUUGCAUAAGGCUAUUUUCUGCCUUUCGAGACUAAGCUCUGUCUCCAUCUGCAUUUUUCGCAUAAGGCUAUUCUCUGCCUUCCGAGGUUAACCUCUACCUCCAUCCUUGCAUAUGGCUAUCUUCUGCCUUUCGAGACUAAGCUCUGCCUUCAUCUUGCAUUGCAUAAGGCUAUUAUCCGCCUUCUGGGGCUAAGCUCUUCCUCCAUCCUGCAUAAGGCUAUCUUCCUCCUUUCGAGACUAAGCUCGGUCUCCAUUUUGCAUUGCAUAAGGCUAUCUUCUGCCUUUCGAGGUUAAGCUCUACCUCCUUUAUUUUGUAUUUUGGCUGAAAUAUCGCCACCCUGUUUCGUUUUGGCUGAAAUAUCGCCACCUUGCAUUCCUGCUCGGCUGAAAGAUCACCACCCUUGCAUCCAUUUGGCCGAAAUAUGCCACCUUUUCAUGGGCUGAAAUAUCGCCAACUUAUUCAAAGGCGUCAUAGUUCAGAGGCACCAUACGCAUAGCCCGAGGACACCAUUUCAUGGCCUGCGAAUCUUUACUUUUUAUGCUCUUCAUAGCGCAGGACGUCAUAGUCUGAGGACGCCAUCUUAAUUGUCUGAAGACAGUAUUCAUGGUCCAAAGGGAACAUGCAUCACGUUUAAACUAUGCAAAAUAUCCGCACACCAUUCAUUUGCAGGUAUACCGGCCGGUAUGGUCGUCUCAGCGGGAGCGAUCCCGCUCCAAUUUUUCGUAACCGUCCAAUCUCCAAAGCCUUGACAAAAAACGAGCUCCGUUGCGUCCGCCUCCUCCAAAAACUUUCACUCGCAUAUUUCUCCAAUGGUUCCUGAACUACAUACAGCCUGAUUCCUGUAAAACCAGUAAUAUGUAGGCAGCUCAAAAGCUAGAGGGCGGUCGAAAUUCUCGUACAAUUGUCAUUUUCGGUUAAAAUUGGUCAUCUUAUCUUUACCCGACAACUCUUUCCUCCUCCUCGGGUAAAAAGGGCAGCUGUUGAUACCCAAUUUUUUCCUAUAUAUUGUUGUACCCAAAAUACUUUCAAAAUAGCUUUUUAAUGCAUAUAUAAGCAUCCACAAAAGGUUGUCAUAUUUCUAUAAUAUUUUCAAGCAUUUUUAAACCAAUUUACAACUUAUUAUGUACUAUAAAAUCCAAUAUUUAACCUCAAAUCUUGUUAUUUAAUAAAUAGUUUAUUUUAUUCUCUUAUUUACAUAAAAAUAUAAUUUAUAUAAUUUUUACAGGAUUUUACAAAGCAAUUAGGUAUUUUUUAACUAAAAUUGCAUUAAAUUGCAAUUUUAGUCUAUUUCUUGAUUUAAUAAGUAUUUCAAGUACAAAAUAUUUCCUGAUAUUUUAAGUUGCUUCCUAAAUAUAUUUUAUUAACUCGGUAAUUUUAUUGGAUUUUUACAAAAUUUUUUACUAUUUUUAUAAAAUUAAAUUGGGAAAAUGGCUAUUUAAAAUAAAGCCCUUUAAUUUUGCAAUUCUAGCCCAAAUUGAAAUUCAGAACAAACCCCAAUUUAACCCCUAAUUGACUCGACCCAAAUCCACUAUUCCCAAGCCAUCCACUUCUUUUUCUAAUCAUGGCCGUUUAUCUCACAGAUCAAGGGCACAGCCCAAAGCCACUAAACCAAACCCAUCCACUUCUCCUUCUAAUCUUGGUCGUUGAUCUCACAGAUCAACGGCCCAAAUUUAACUUACCAAAAUUAAAUCCCUAACACCCCUAACCCUAAACUCAUUCUUCCAAACCCGCAGUCUCUGAAUCCCUAAGGCUCUCAAAGCCCUCUCAAACCAUAAGCCUAUCUCUGGCUCUCACCGAAGUUCAUGGCCGUCCAAGACCUGAAACUUCUUCACCCGUUCACUCUUCACCUCUCCUGGUCCUUGGGUUCGAAGAUCAGAGCUGUAUUUUAAGGGUGGUUGGACCAGAGGCCCUCCAAUGGGUUUUGCAGUUAUGUCCAGGAUUUCUCCAGCAAGUAUUAAGGCUCCGAGUCCUUUGACGACUCUGACGGGUCUGUUCCAAGCCCUAAGCCAUCUUCGGUUGUCUCACCAGCGUUCCUGGCCAUCAAAGACCUGAAACUCCUUCACCCGUUCACUCUUCACCUCUCCUGGUCCUUGGGUUCGAAGAUCAGAGCUAUAUUUCAAGGGUGGUUGGACCAGAGGUCCUCCAAUGGGUUUUGCAGCUAUGUCCAGGCUUUCCCCGGCAAGUCUUAAGGCUCCGAGUCCUUUACCGACUCCGACGAGUCCGUUCCAAGCUUUUCUCACCAUCUCGAGACUUUUCUGUGAAAACCCUAACUUCUCGAGGUUUUUCUCUGUGUUUACUUUAAUGAUUCUCUUUGAGUCCUAGUGAUUUUCUAAAAGUUCAAAGUUUUCUCAUCUCUUCUUCGCCUAUUUGUGUUUUCAAGUUGUUCGUCCUUUUAAACCAAGGGUUUUCUAUGACUUUGCAUGAUUUCUCUGGUUUUAUUGCUCUAUUUGCUACUGUGUGUUCUUUUCUAUGUCUUUUCUAUGAUUUUUAAGCAUUUUUAACCAUGACUCUAGGGUUUGGGUUUACUGUUUACUUUCUAGGGUUUUUAGUUCAUGUACUAUAUGCUUUCUUCGUGUUGUUCUGUUGUUUGUUCAUCUUCAUCUGUUAUAUUCUUACUCUCCGAUAUGCAGUGGAAACCCUAGCUAAAAGGGUCCUUUCCAUUGUCUCUAUAUGAAACCCUAACCGCCUCUGGUUGCUUCGUUAUGUGUUUUGCCACAUGUUAUCCUUUCCAUUGUCUCUAUAUGAAACCUUAGCCGCCUCUGGUUGCUUCGUUAUGUGUUUUGCCACAUGUUGUUCUAAUUGCUUCCAAUUUUGUAUGUUCAAAUCUAUGCCUCUUUUAUUGUCACACUUCCCCUCCUCUGAAGCCCUAAUUGAUUUCGUAUAGCUGUUUGAUUUUUUAAUUGAUCCCUAUUUUUUGACUAAGUGCAAAUGGUUGGUAUCUUGACUCAUUGAUUUCCUGGAUGAUUACCUGCCUUGUGUGUUUUACCCGUGUAAUUUUCAAAUUCUCUAUAUGAAUUUACCCUAUAUUCUAUGAUUAAUACUUGAUUUUUCUUUCCAAAAUUAGACCGAAGCUUCUUUAUUUCCAGUCGGUUCCUUAAUUAAAGGGAACCUUCUCCUUAAUUGUGUAUGAUUGGUGCUGCUGAAUAUUUUCUUGCCUUAAGUGUUGAAUAUCUUUCAAACUAUAAAUAGGCCUUCACUUCUUCUCACUAAAAACAACACACGAGUUCCCUCUUGAUUUUCUCUUUCUUCUCUGUUACUUGCUCUCUCUUCCUAAGGAUUAGCCGGCUGAAAGUCAAGGCUAAUUAUAAGGAUUCUCUUUGUUUUGUUACUCAAGUUUGCACUGGUAGGCUCCUAACUUCAAUUAUUAACUUUCAACUAUCUGUUUGUUCUCUCCUUUUCUUUGUCUCUUAUGUUAUUUCAACUUAAGCCCUUGCAUGUUCAAUCCCUUCCCUUGUCCCCUUGUCCCCUUGUCUGUUUGUUUGUUUCAGUAUUUCAUUUGAGUGCUAGCAUGUUUAAUUGUUUGUUCUCUCCUUUUCUUUGUCUGCUAUGUUAUUUCAACUUAAGCCCUUGCAUGUUCAAUCCCCUCCUCAUGUCCCAUUAUCUGUUUGUUUGUUUCAGUAUUUCAUUUGAAUGCUAGCAUGUUUAAUUCCCUCCCCCCUUUCCCUAGGCUGUCAUGCUAGCUCACUUAUUUUGUGUACUUCAGUUAAGCUUCAUGAUAAUUCCCUUCCCCUUGUCCCCUUGUCCCCUUGUCUGUUUGUGCUCAGAUCCUAAAGGAUAAUCCUGAACCCUGAUCCUUGUCUGCUUAUACCUUUAGUUCAAACUACAGUAUGUUAAUCCCUAUUCCAUUUCCCUUUGGUUGCUUACAUUCAGUGUUUUAUUAAGUCCGGUAUGUUAAAUACUUUCCUUUGCUUGUGUAUUGUUCAUUAUUGUUCUUCAAUCUAAUCUUGUCUGUUAAGUGCUUUUAUAUGAUUCCCUCUCCCUUUGGUCCUUGUUUGUAUGUGAGUUGUUCUAGAUAAGGGUGGCACUUUAUUGCCACUUCUAGUCUAGAACUAAUACUGUCAACGGUAUCUUAUGUGUUUGUGCCUCGACAAACUCCUAUUGGUGUCCUGAUCACUAUUCAGACCUUUGUCUGACUUGUUUAUAAGUCUGCUCUUGUUUGUUAACCCUUGUAAGAAGUCUGGGGUGUGCCUGUCUCACUCAAUAGGCAGGGUAUGACCACUUCAUACGAUGGUCUUCCUCUAAUCUAUCACCUUUACAUUUAUUCUUAAUUCUUUAAGCUCUACCCCCUUCUGGUAAGCCAUGCUUAGGGACCUCGUAGUCUCCUCUGAACCCGGAUGACUAAGGGAUGGUAAUUCCGUACUUGCACUAUUUCAAUUAAAGUGUAAGCAAUACCUGGGUUUCUUUGAAAGCCCUUGGAACUUUGUAACACUCUAAAAAGAGAAAGGCGUCGAAUCGUGGGAGCUCUAAUUUGGUAAAAGGCAUAUUGUUGGACAUUAAAGUUGCUUCGAGAUUCAUCGGGCCUAUUAUAGCUGCUGAUGUAUUUUAAUUUCUUAUUCUUUUUAAUUUUCUAUUCCUUCCUUGCCCAGAUUUGUAAUAAUUUGUAAUAAAAGAACUCGGGAGUAUAUAAAAAGGGACAUGGAGGGAUUUACUUUCUCGCAUUCAUAUAGAAACCAUGCUUAUAGGUUUGCAUCACUUAUCAUGUCUACAGGCUUCUCAUCAUCAUAUAGAAAGCAUGACUAUAAGGAUUUACUUUUCUUGCAUCAUAGAAAUCAUGACUACAAGUUUACUUUUUUCUUGCAUCAGUUAUGAACCAUGUUUAGGACUUUACUUUGUUACAUCCAUACCAUAGCGUGACCAUGUCUAUUUUUCACUACUGCAUCAACACCAUAUAGAUGUCAUGACUAUAGGUUCUUGUUAUUACAUCAGCUCCAUAUAGAAAUCAUGUUUAUAAUUUCGCAUUUUUAAUCUCUCCCAGAAAGCAUUCCUAUAGGGACCAUAUAAACGCUAGGCAAAGCAGUAGGUCGUCUAAAAGCAAUAACUAAAGGGUUAACAAGUAUGUUAUAAGUCCAGACUCGCCCAGUGCUUGAAACGUUUUGGUUCAACUUAUCGUAAAUUUGUUUACUCUAAAACGGGCCCAAGUCUGCCCCGUUUUCGUAAUGCUUUAAACCUAUGAAACCGUUUUAAAGACUGAAUCUGUGAUUCCAAUUGCUUGUCUGUUUGAGUUUAAACGCUCCGAGAUCUUUUAAAUUUGUUUUCUCACGACUAUCAUUUACUCACAGUACGGCUAAAUCAUAAGGCUUUUUCUAAACUUGUUAGCAACUUCAAAUCCUUUUAAACAAACCUUUGUCUAAAGUUUCAUUUUCUUUUAAACCAACUGAUUUUAAAUCCUGUCAACUCCUAAAACAGGCCCGGGGGCUCGAAGCAGAUUUUCUAUCCAACUCUUAUGUGUUAAACUAAUCUAUCUGCUCUAUUAACCUCUUUCAAAAGACCAAAUCGGUAAUUGAAGUCAUGCUAAACUAUUUGUUGUAUGUUACGGGGUUUAAUUGUGCCUUUUACCGUUUACUUGUGUACCUCUUAUAUGCUACUUGUUUUUGACUGUCGCUCUAGUAUUUUUACCUGUGAAAACUCUAUAUACCCUAUCUCUCUCUUCCCUCUUCUUAGGAUUAGAAGUCCUAAUACCCAUGACUGACAGGUUGGGAUGGGUAUUAUCAUGCAAUAAGUAAACGAUACCAACGCGUGGGAAGGGUAGAAUAUGGAGAUGAUGAUGAUGCGAUAAUAUCAUAGAGCGACCCCUCUUUGGGCAUAUGUGCGGAUAUUGCAUCGAAUGAUCCAUAUUAUAGUUAAACCUAGGACCCUUCUUUUCAUUUUAUUUGUUUAAAUGCUUUCUUCUAGUAAUGCUUUUCAAACUAGUCCUCUCUUAUUUCAAACUUAUGUCAUUUUUUAGUUUAUAAGUUAUGUGAAUACAUGUGCACCUUAUUUGUCUACUUGCGUCAUCUUCUGCUAAAGUUAUAAUUAGCACGGUCGGAAACCACAUUUGUGGAUCUUGAGGGGUGCCUAACACAUUUCCCUUGAGAUAAUCUCAAGCCCUUACCCGAACUCUGGCUUUCUUUCAAAAUACUCCUCUCAUCUUUAAAAGCGUCCUAAUGCACUAUAAUCAUUAGGUGGCGACUCUUCAAAUUCCAUAACCCAAUUCCCAAACGGGAAUGUGAGUUGUUUUGCCCAUAAUGUCGUGAAAUCCGAUUUCGCUUUUGAAAAAGGGGGGCGUCGCGUGGCUAGGAAUUUAGUAAUUAGAUGAAGGAAUAAUAAGGGAAUGAAGUUAAGAUUACUUACCCAAAUAGUUAUGGAGAAAUGAGCUCUGUAAAAUUGCCUAUGGAGAAUUUGGGGAAAGAGUUCGUGUGAAAAAUGGGGAGGAAUCCCGUAACUUAAGGUUCUGUUUUAAUAAAGAGUCACUGAAGCAUUCUUUGGUCUUUGUGAUCGCGGGGCAAUAGAUGUGAACGCAUAGAGAAGUUGGAAAGUUUGCUUCUGCGAUCGCAGAAGAAGUCAUGUGAUCGCGUAAAGGAAAGGAAGCUUGAAAUUUUGGGUGAGGUCCAAAGCUAUGUGAUCGCGUAUAGGGAAAUGUGAUUGCAUUGAGGAGACUUGGAAAGCUAUGCGAUCGCGUAUGAAACCAUGCGAUCGCAUUGAACAAAGUGAGAUGACUACAAAAGGGACUCUAUGCUAUCGCAGACUUGCCUAUGCGAAUGCAUAUAGGAAGAGGUCUGUGCAAAAAUUGCAGAAUUUGUUAUGCAUUCUAAGUCCAAAAACAUUCUGAACCACCCCCGAAAUCACUUCGGGCUCCUAACCAAACACACACUCUAACUAAAUAUCAUCCUGCAAACUUGCUCUAGCGAUCAAAUCGCUAUAAUAACAUCAAAAUCAAAGAAUCAACCCCCAAAACUCAUAAUUUCAUUUAAUAAGUUCAUCAACCUUUAACUUUAGAUAUCUAAGUCCGAAACACGUCAAACGACGUCCGAUUUCAACCAAAUUUUACAGGAAGCGCUUAAACCACAUAUAUGACCUGUACCGAGCGUCAGAACCAAAAUAUGAGCCCGAUACCAAUACUUUUUGAUCGAAUUUAAUUUUAAUUUUCCUUAAACAUUUUCUGGAAACAAUUUUAUGGAAAAAAAAAUUUCCCGGCCGUGGGACCUCGGAUUUCGAUUCCGGGAAUAUGCCCGAGUCUACAGACCCUACGGGACCGUCACAUCAUGGGUCCGGGUCCGUUUACCAAAAAUAUUGACCAAAGUAAACUAUAUCAAUAUUAUUAUUAAAAUUCAUAGUUUUUAACACAAAAUUCAUAUAUUUCCACAUAAUUAUUUUCCGGCUUCGUGCCCAGACUAUACACGCAAAUCAAGGUGACCUAAUAAGAGAUUUUCAAUGCCUAGAAAGCACAAAGAAAGAAAGAUUUAUGGUGAUGAGCCUUUGGAUCGUCACUUUUCCAGCUUCACGCCUGAACUGCGCACGCAUAUCGAGGUAACCAAAUAAGAGAUUUUCAAGGUCUCGAUAGCACGGAGAAAGGGAGAAUUACAGUGAUGACACUUUGUAUCGUCACAUCCUCCACCUCUAAAACAAUUUUUCAUCCUCGAACGGACAAAAGAAAGAAGUACCUGAGUCGGGGAAUAAAUGGGGAUAACGGCUCCGCAUAUCAGACUCGGACUCCCAGGUUGAUGGCUCAGGAGGCUGACCUCUCCACAUAACACGCACUGAAGGAAAACUCCGCGACCUCAAGUGCCGAACCUGCCGCUCAUAUGACAGAUCCUUGUCCAAUUGGACAUUGCUACAAUGAACACACACUAAGGGAAAACUCUUCGACCUCAACUGUCGAACUUGCCGGUCUAAAAUAGACACCGGCUCCUCCUCAUAUAUCAAAUCCUUGUUCAACUGGACAGUGCUGAAAUCUAACACGUGGGCGGGAUCGCCGUGAUACCUCCGAAGUAUGGAUACAUGAAAAAACGAAUGCACGGCUGACAAGCUAGGUGACAAGGAAAGUCUAUAGGCCACCUUCCCCACGCGAUCAAAAUCUUAAAUGGGCCAAUAAACCUAGGGCUAAGCUUGACCUUCUUCCCGAAUCUCAUCACGCCCUUCAUAAGCCACAUUCCCCACACGGUUCAGAAUCUCAAAUGGGCCAAUAUACCAAGGGCUAAGAUUUCCCUUCUUCCCAAACCUCAUAACGCCCUUCAUACGCGAUGCAUGGAGCAAUACUCGCUCACCAACCAUGAAAGCAACAUCCCUAACCUUGCGAUCUGCAUAACUCUUCUGCCUAGACUGAGCUGAUCAAAGUCUGUCCUGAAUGAUCUUGACCUUAUCCAAGGCCUCUUGUACUAGAUAUGUACCCAAUAACCGAGCCUCUCCCUGCUCAAACCAUCCGACUGGAAACCGAUACCGUCUACCAUACAACGCCUCAUACGGAGCCAUCUAAAUGCUGGAUUGGUAGCUGUUGUUGUAGGCAAACUCUGCUAAAGGUAAGAACUAGUCCCACAAGCCUCCAAAAUCAAUAACGCGGGCUUGGAGUAUAUCCUCAAGAAUCUAAAUGGUCCUCUCAGACUGACUGUCCGUCUGGGGGUGAAAUACUAUAUUCAACUGAACCUGGGUGCCCAACUCCUGCUGUACCGCUCUCCAGAAAUGCGAGGUAAACUGUGGGCCCCGGUUCGAAAUGAUAGACAUAGGCACCCAUGAAGGUGAACGAUCUCCUUGAUAUAAAUCUCAGCAAAUCUCUUGGAUGAAUAGGUGGUGGCAAUUGGAACAACCCCGGUCAGAAAUAAUAGAUAUAGGCACCCCAUGGAUGCGAACGAUCUCUCUGAUAUAAAUCUCCGCAAAUCUCUCGGAUGAAUAGGUGGUGGCAACUGGAAUAAAAUGUGCUGGCUUGGUCAGCCUACCAACCCAUAUGGCGUCAAACUUAUUCCGAGUCUUCGAAAGGCCAGUAACGAAAUCCAUGGUAAUUCUCUCCUACUUCCACUCGGGAAGCUCAAUACCCGUGCCGUAGUCAGAGCUGUCUUGAGCUUUUGGAAGCUCGCCUCGCACUUAUCUGACCAAUUGAACUAGGCACCCUUCUGGGUCAAUCUAGUCAUCGGGGCUACAAUGGAUGAAACCCCCACCACGAAACGUUGGUAGUAACCAGCUAACCCCAAGAAACUCCGGAUCUCUGUAGUUAAAGCUGGUCGAGGCCAGUUCUUGACUGCCUCUAUCUUCUUCAGGUCCACCUGAAUACCCUCUCUUGAUACAACAUGACCCAGGAAUGCAACUGAACUCAACCAAAACUCGCACUUCGGGAAUUUGGCGUACAACUGACUAUCCUUCAGAGUCUAAAGAACCACCCUGAAGGUGCUGCUCAUGCUCUGUGGGAGUAUAUCAAAAUGUCGUCAAUGAAUACAAUCACAAAAAAAUCCAAAUAGGGCCUAAACACUCGGUUCAUCAACUCCAUGAAUGCUGCCAGGGCAUUGGUCAACCCAAACGACAUGACCAAAAACUCAUAAUGCCCAUACUGAGUGCGAAAUGUUGUCUUAGGGACAUCAAACGCCCUAAUCCUCCGCUGAUGAUAACCAGACCUCAAAUUUAUCUUUGAGAACACCUUGGCACCUUGAAGCUGGUCGAAUAAAUCGUCAAUCCUCGGCAGUGGAUACUUAUUCUUUAUCGUCACCUUGUUCAACUGUCGGUAAUCAAUAUCUAAAUCGUCAAUCCUCGGUAGUGGAUACUUGUUCUUUAUUGUCACCUUGUUCAACUGCCGGUAAUCAAUGUACAUCCUCAUCGACCCAUCCUUUUUUCUUCACAUAUAACACUGAUGCGCCCCAAGACGAUACACAGGGUCUAAUGAAACCCUUAUCAAGCAAGUCCUGAAGCUGCUCCUUCAACUCCUUCAACUCUCGCGCGGCCAUGUGAUACGGCAGAAUGGAAAUAGGCUAAGUUCCCAGAGCCAGAUCAAUACAGAAAUCAAUAUCCCUGUCGGGCGGCAUACCCGGCAGGUCUGAANNNNNNNNNNNNNNNNNNNNNNNNNNNNNNNNNNNNNNNNNNNNNNNNNNNNNNNNNNNNNNNNNNNNNNNNNNNNNNNNNNNNNNNNNNNNNNNNNNNNNNNNNNNNNNNNNNNNNNNNNNNNNNNNNNNNNNNNNNNAACAAUAGGAACAGAGUCAAUAGAUGGAACCUCUGCGCUGGAGUCACGAACAUACGCCAGAUAUGCUAGACACCCCUUCUCGACCAUACGUCGAGCCUAGACAUAUGAAAUAACACUGCGAGUGGCAUGACCUAGGUCCCUCUCCACUCAAGUCGGGGCAAAUCUGGCAAAGCCAAUGUCACGGUCUUGGCGUGACAAUCCAAAAUAGCAUGAUAUAGGGAAAACCAAUCAAUCCCCAAUAUAACAUCAAAGUCAACCAUAGCUAAGAGAAAUAAGUCGGCACGGGUCUCAAGACCCUCAAAUACUACCACACAUGAACGAUGCACUCGGUCGACCACAAUAGAAUAACCAACGUGUGUAGACACAUAUACAAGAAUACCUAAAGCCUCACUAGGCAUAACCAAAUAGGGUGCAAAAUAGGACGACACGUAGGAAUACGUAGAUCCGGGAUCAAAUAAUACUGAAGCACCCCUAUCACAGACCAGUAUAGUACUUGCAAUCACAGCAUCUGAUGACUCAGCCUCUGGCCUGGCUGGCAAAGCAUAACAAUAGGGCUGGGCCCCACAUCUCUGAACUGUGUAUCUGGGAUGAUCUGCUACUGGCUGACCCCUGCCUCUAACGGUCUGAGCUCCAGCUCUAUGCUCCCUACCUCCACCUUUAUGACCUCUACCCCCGCCUCUAGCUGGCUGGGCGGCCUGUGGAUCACAUGCUGCAUAAAUCAUGGGACUAGGAGCCUACUGUUGUUACCGAGCACCACUCAACCUCUGGCAAUAUCUCCUGAUGCGACUAAGAUCUCUGCACUCAUAACACCCAAUAGAAUGCGGCAACUGAGAAGACUGGGGCUGACUGAUGCCCGAAUGACCUCCUCAAAGACUCGAAAGCGUAGUGCACUGAUAGGCUGGUGAUCAGAGUAGUGCUGCUGAGAACCGCUACCAUCCACGGUACAAUGUGAAACCUGAAGUGCUAACUGAAAGGGCCUCCGAGGGUGGCUUCUGUCAUAUGAAUCCCUACCUCCAAAUGAGGUACUACUGAACGUACCCGAAUGACAACGCCUCUUAUCUGACCCCUGACCACCUCCUUGUGCAACUGCCAUCUCUACCCGGCAGGCCACAUUGGCCUCCUCUUGAAAGGAAAUAUCACUACCAACUCCCAUGGCAAUCUGAAGACGGAUCGGCUGAAUCAAUCCAUCAAUGAAUUUCCGGACCCUCUCUCGCUCUGUAGGGAGUAUCACAAUUGCAUGGCGUACAAAAUCAAUAAAUCUAGUAUCAUACUGUGUAGCUGUCAUGGAGCCCCACUGGAGGCACUCAAACUGCCUACGCAGUGCCUCCCGCUGAGUGAUGGGGAGAAACUUCUCAAAAAAUAAAUCCGCGAAUUGAUCCCACGCAAAGCUGGAGACUCUACUGGUCUAGAUAGUCAAUAAUCUCUCCACCAAGUCUUGGCGGAUCCUGCAAGCCUGAAGGUGUAUAAAUCGAUCCCGUUGGUCUCCACUAUACCCAUAGUCCUCAGGAUCUCAUGACAACUGAAUAGAAAAUCAUGGGGAUCCUCCGACGAAGCACUGGUAAAAGUGGUGGUGAAAAUAUUGGAGAACCGAUCAAGUCUCCACAAAGAAUCCGAAGACAUGGCCUCUCCAUCGUCGGCCUUUGCUAUAAUACAUGUCUAAGCUGCCAUUGUGGGCUAAACCACUAGAACCUGAGUCCGGGGUGCUACCUGCUCUGGAGUACGCAUAGUAGGAGUCUGAACCCCUCCUCCAGCCUGAGAAGUGGCUGGUGCUACUGGUAGCAAACCUGCUCUAGUGACACUAUCCAUAAAGCCUACCAGACGGACUAAAGCAUCCUGGAGAUCCGGGGGAAACAUAACCCCUCCCAGGAACUGAGUUGGGCCUACUGGAGCUGUUGGGACUGGAACCUCCUCAUCAAAAUCAAUAUGAGGCUCCAUCUCUAGAACAGUUGCCUGGGGCUGAGCUCUGCCCCUACCACAACCUCUGGCAUGGCCUCGGUCUCUGCCACUCACACGAGCUGCUGCUGGCGGCUCACGCUGCUACGCGGUAGAAGAAGAUUCACGUGUUGUCACCAUCUGCGAAAGAACAUAUUAGAACGACGAUCAAUAUUUGAGAAAAAAAAUCGCACGACAAGAAUGAACAAGGUGAAAUUUUCCUAACUUUUUAGUCUCUCGGGGAUAAAUACAGACGUCUCCGUACCGAUCCCUCAGACUUUACCGAGCUUGUACGUGAGUUGUGAGACCCAAGUAACCAAGUGCUCUAAUACCAACCUGUCACGACCCGAAUCUCCCAUCAUCAGUGGUCGUGAUGGCGCCUACUAUCGGAGCAAGGCAAGCCAACUAUUUAAACAUUUCACAUUUUUUUAUUUAAUGCAAUAUGAUAAACUGAAACAAAUACUUAAAUUAUGUGGAAGACUUUUAAAUACUUAAAACAUAGGAUAUGAAGGUCUUAAAUUACAUUUUCUACCCACUAGCUGUUGUCACCACUCACGGACUACUAAGGAAUACUAGAAAUAUCAGUCUGAAAGAAAAUACACAGGAAGUCUGUCUCGAUACAUAUAAACAAAUUGAAAUAACAUAGAUGAGACUCCGAGCCCGAGGACGGCAAAGCUACCUAGAAUUCUCUGGACUGAAGGUAUGCUCCCAAUCUAUUGUUGCGGCGGUCCGUAAGCUACUCCCUGAUCUGUGCACAAAAAGGCACAUAAGUGUAGCAUCAGCACAACCGACCCCAUAUGCUGGAAACUGCCCGGCCUAACCCCGGUGAGGUAGUGACAAAGCUAGACAGGACCUACCACAAAUAACAUGUACAGAUAUAUGUAAUAACAAAAGAAUACACUAAUUUAAGCAGUUAAAAGGGGAAGGAAGCAUGUUCUGGGGUACAACAGUUCAAAUACAGAAAUCAACUAACAAGAAUGACAAUUGAGCUUAUAGCGACUGAUAAAGAGAUACUGGAAAGCUCAACGCACAGAAUAAUAUACUCAGUACGUAUUUCUGUUGCAGAACGUAACCCGAUCCUCAACAUUUAAUACCGUUGUGGUGUGCAACCCGAUCCUCGACAAUUAACUCGUUGCGGCGUGCAACCCGAUCCUCAAUAUUUAGUACCGUUGCGGCAUGCACCCGAUCCUCAAUAUUUACCAGCAAAACUUACCCAACAUCAUUCGCAACUCAAGUACGAGGGGACUAACAUCAAAAUACAAGAGUCCUGAUGAGGGAUUAUAACAUACAGCUCAAUUAUCCCGUCAAUGGAGGGUUCAAUUUAUACCGAAAAUCCCAGCAAGGGAAAAAUAAUCACAGGACUUCCACUUCUAACACUUAACUACCAACAACUCUAAGUCGAGCCAAUGCUCCAAUAAUCUAUACAAGUCUAUAUUUGUCGUCAACCGUUCAUAUCAAGUGAACUCAAUCAAUUUAAGCAACAAGUCAUACCAAAUUAAAGCAAUUUAAGAUCCACAGUCAUGCUAGACUCACUAUUUGCCCUCAACUAAUCACAUCAUGUGAACUCAAUCAAUUUAAGCCUCAAGCCAUACCACAUUAUUCGAAUUAAAGCAAUUUAAGACCCACGGUCAUGCUAGACUCGGGCGCAUAGAUAACUGUCACCAUGCCUAUACACCGACUCCACAUAGCACAUAGCAAAUAAUGUUCUAAACCUAUUCCUUCAAACCAAAGUUAGAUCAAACACUUACCUCGAUCCGAAAAUAGCAAUCAAAGCUCUAAAAUCGCCUUUCCUCUCGAAUCCAACUCUGAAACAUCGAUAUCUAGGCAUAAUUAGAUUCAAUAUUAUCAAUAAUAGCUCAAGGACACAAUUCCAUAGCUUAGAAAUGAAUUAUCUAUCAUUCUUCCAAAAAUACCAAAAUCCAACCCUGGGCCCACAUGGUCCAAACUUGAGGCUCGGACCAAAACCCAAUCACCCAUAAUCCCACGAGUUCAAAUAUGCAAUUUUUUUUAAGAUUCAACCUCAAAUUGAGGUUGAUCACUCAAAAUCCCAAAAGCCCUAGUUCUACCCAAAUCCCCCUUCUACUUCGAAUUCAUGAUUUAGGGCUAGGAAUUUUGUAGUUACAUGAAAGAAUAAUGAGGGAAUGAAGAUAAGAUUACUUACCCAAAGCGUUACGGAGAAAGGAGCUCUUGAAAAUCGCCUAUGGAGAAUUUGGGAAAGAGUUCGUGUGAGUACAGUGGUGCCCUUGUACAAGAACAAAGGGGACAUCCAGUGCUGCAACAACUAUAGGNNNNNNNNNNNNNNNNNNNNNNNNNNNNNNNNNNNNNNNNNNNNNNNNNNNNNNNNNNNNNNNNNNNNNNNNNNNNNNNNNNNNNNNNNNNNNNNNNNNNNNNNNNNNNNNNNNNNNNNNNNNNNNNNNNNNNNNNNNNNNNNNNNNNNNNNNNNNNNNNNNNNNNNNNNNNNNNNNNNNNNNNNNNNNNNNNNNNNNNNNNNNNNNNNNNNNNNNNNNNNNNNNNNNNNNNNNNNNNNNNNNNNNNNNNNNNNNNNNNNNNNNNNNNNNNNNNNNNNNNNNNNNNNNNNNNNNNNNNNNNNNNNNNNNNNNNNNNNNNNNNNNNNNNNNNNNNNNNNNNNNNNNNNNNNNNNNNNNNNNNNNNNNNNNNNNNNNNNNNNNNNNNNNNNNNNNNNNNNNNNNNNNNNNNNNNNNNNNNNNNNNNNNNNNNNNACCCGACAUAUUCAAGGGGAUGUACCUUGGUGUAUGCUAUUUGCUGAUGACAUAGUCUUGAUAGACGAGACGACGGUCGGUGUUAUUGAGAGGUUAAAGGUAUGGAGACAGACGCUCAAGUCUAAGGGUUUCAAAAUAAGCAGAUCUAAGACAGAAAACCUGGAGUGCAAGUUUAGCGCCGAGCCGAGCGAAAUAGGCAGGGACGUGCUGAUUGGAUCUCAGGUCAUCGCCAAGAGGAACAGUGUUAGAUAUCUUGGUUCGGUGAUUCAGUGGGACGGAGAGAUUGACAGGGACGUCACUCAUCGUAUAGGAGCGGGGUGGUCAAAGUGGCACUGACACUGAGAGACGAAAGCUAGGGAGCGAAUGGGAUUAGAUACCCCAGUAGUCCUAGCCGUAAACGAUGGAUACUAGGCGCUGUNNNNNNNNNNNNNNNNNNNNNNNNNNNNNNNNNNNNNNNNNNNNNNNNNNNNNNNNNNNNNNNNNNNNNNNNNNNNNNNNNNNNNNNNNNNNNNNNNNNNNNNNNNNNNNNNNNNNNNNNNNNNNNNNNNNNNNNNNNNNNNNNNNNNNNNNNNNNNNNNNNNNNNNNNNNNNNNNNNNNNNNNNNNNNNNNNNNNNNNNNNNNNNNNNNNNNNNNNNNNNNNNNNNNNNNNNNNNNNNNNNNNNNNNNNNNNNNNNNNNNNNNNNNNNNNNNNNNNNNNNNNNNNNNNNNNNNNNNNNNNNNNNNNNNNNNNNNNNNNNNNNNNNNNNNNNNNNNNNNNNNNNNNNNNNNNNNNNNNNNNNNNNNNNNNNNNNNNNNNNNNNNNNNNNNNNNNNNNNNNNNNNNNNNNNNNNNNNNNNNNNNNNNNNNNNNNNNNNNNNNNNNNNNNNNNNNNNNNNNNNNNNNNNNNNNNNNNNNNNNNNNNNNNNNNNNNNNNNNNNNNNNNNNNNNNNNNNNNNNNNNNNNNNNNNNNNNNNNNNNNNNNNNNNNNNNNNNNNNNNNNNNNNNNNNNNNNNNNNNNNNNNNNNNNNNNNNNNNNNNNNNNNNNNNNNNNNNNNNNNNNNNNNNNNNNNNNNNNNNNNNNNNNNNNNNNNNNNNNNNNNNNNNNNNNNNNNNNNNNNNNNNNNNNNNNNNNNNNNNNNNNNNNNNNNNNNNNNNNNNNNNNNNNNNNNNNUAUUGGGGAGAGGUAAUUAGGCAUGACAUGGCUAGAAUGCGGGUUUCCGAGGACAUGGCCCUUGAUAGGAAAGUCUGGAGGUCUAGUAUCAGGGUGGUAGAAUAGGGGUUCCUAGAGUAUUUCGUACUCCCUACCCGGGGUUGGGUGAGGCUUGGCAGGGCUAUCCAUAGAUGAUUUGUGUAUUGGAUUGUGUCUCCCUUGUAUGGUAGUUAUUUAUGGUAGUUACUGUCUAAUAUUAUUGCAUGCUAUAUUAUUUAUGGUUCUUAUGUUUAGAUAAUUUUUUACGCUAUUUGUGCUAGAGUUACUAACGCCCUUUUGUUUUUGUUUUUGUUUUUGUUUUUCCUUUCCUUCACUGAGCCGAGGGUCGAUUGGANNNNNNNNNNNNNNNNNNNNNNNNNNNNNNNNNNNNNNNNNNNNNNNNNNNNNNNNNNNNNNNNNNNNNNNNNNNNNNNNNNNNCUCUGCCCUUUCGGGUAGGGGUAAGGCCCGUCUACAUAUUACCCUCCCCAGACCCACUUUGUGGGACUAUACUGGGUAGUUGUUGUUGUUGUUUAGUUCGUGUGAAAAAUGGGGAAGAAUCCCAUAAAUUAAGGUUCUAUUUUAAUAAAUAAAUCACUGAAGCAUUUUUUGGUCUAUGUGAUCGUGGAGCAACAGUUGCAAUUGCAUAGAAGAGUGGGAAUGUUGGCUUCUGCGAUCGCAGAAGAAGUCAUGCAAUCGCAUAGAGGAAAGGAAGCCUGAAAUUUUGUAUGAGGUCCAAAGCUAUGCGAUCGCGUAUAGGGGAAUACGAUCGCAUUGAGGAGACUUGCUAAGCUAUGCGAUCGCAUUGAAUAAAGUGAGAUGGCUACAAAAGGGACUAUAUACGAUCUCAAAAAUGCCUAUGCGAUCGCAUAGAGGAAGAGGUCUAUGCAAAAAUUGCAGAAUUUCUGAUGCAUUCUAAGUCCAAAAACACUCCGAACAACCCCCGAAAUAACUCCAAAGCCCUCGACGCUCCCAACCAAACAUACACUCUAACUCAAUAUCGUCCUGCGAACUUGCUCGAGCGAUCAAAUCGCAAAAAUAACAUCAAAAUCAAAGAAUCAACCCCCAAAACUCAUAAUUUCAUUCAUAGUUCAUCAACCUUUAACUUUAGAUAUCUAGGUCCGAAACACGUCAAACGACAUCCAAUUUCGACCAAAUUUUACAGGAAGUACUUAAACUACAUAUAUGACCUAUACCGGGCAUCGAAACAAAAAUACGAGCCCGAUACCAUUACUUUUUGAUUGAAUUUCAUUUUCAUUUUCCUUAGACAUUUUGAGAAAACAAUUUCAUGAAAAAAUUCUUAUCUCGGGCCUAGGAACUCGGAUUUCGAUUCUGGAAAUACACCUGAGUCCCAUAUUUUCCUACGAACCCUCUGGUAUCAUCACAUCAUGGGUCCGGGUCCGUUCCCAAAAUGUUGACCAAAGUCAAUAUCAAUAAUAUUAUCAAAAUUUAUAGUUUUUAACGCAAAAUUCAUAUUUCCACAUAAAAAAUUACCGUCUUUCCGUCUGUACUGCACACGCAAAUUGAGGCGACCAAAUAAGAGGUUUUCAAGGCCUCGAAAGUACGGAAAAAGGGAGAAUUACGGUGAUGUCCGCUUGGGUCGUCACAGGGGGUGUGCAGACUCAUGGAAGGGCCACUUACGUCCCAAGCACAAUAUCAAGUCAUCACGUGGCAUCAAAUCUAGGCUCUCAGCAUCAUAUCAACAAGCCAUCUCGUGGCGUACAUAUCUCAUGCCCUCGGCCUCAUAAUCAAAAGUAGGGUAUCAUUGUUGCAGUGUGCAGCCUGACCCAAAAGUAUCCUCGCAACACAGGCCCUUGGCCUUGCUCAAAAAGUAUAUAUACUACUCGAGCAAGUGUAAAACAUGAUGCUUAGCCCAAAAUGUUAUUUCGAAUAUCAUUUCAAGUGUUAAAGCAGAGUAAACAUGGCUGAGUUUUGAAAACAUUAGAAUAUAGGAUGGCAGAGUACAAGAUUAAAAUCAAAAUAGUGAGAAAAUAUUAAUAAAAAUCCCCGAAAGGUUUAAAUAGUUGGCACGAUUCCCCAAAUAUUGCAUUCAACCCAAAACAUGAUGAUAGCAAAUAGAUUUCAAUCAAAUACGCAGUAAGACAGUCAUUCGAGAUUGACUAAGUCGCAAUCCCCAAUAGUGCACGACCCCACGCUCAUCAUCUAGCGUGUGUGUCACGUCAAUCUAGCACAACAAUGUGCAAUCUGAGGUUUCAUACCCUCAAAAUAUCAUUUACAAUCAUUACUCACCUUGAUCUGAUCCAAACUCUUGCCCGCGAUGACUUUUCCCUUAUGAACCAACCUCUGGAUGCUCCAAAUAUAACCACAAUCAGUACAUAAUCAUUAAAAUAUGCUAAGGGAACAAAGUACACUCAAAAAUAUCUAAUUUUCAUCAAAAAUUCCAAAAUUACUCAAACACAGCCGCUGGGCCUACAUCUCAGAAUCUGACAAAAUUAUCAUCAAUAGGAUCCUCAACCUCCCACGAACCUAUACAUAUUAGGAAUAUUAAAAUCGAACCUAAAAUGGCCACUCAAAUCCCCACUCAAAGGUCCCUUAAUCUCAAGCCCUAAUCCCUCAAGUUCUUCCUUAAUUUCCACUAAUACCACGAUUAAACAAUGCAAAAAUGAUCAUAAUCAUGAGUAAUGAGGCUCAGGGAACUGAUUCUCUUUGAUUUUUCCCUUUAGUUCACUGCCCUAGCUCACUUCGCGUCUUCAAAAAUGGAGAACUUAGCAAAAAUUCGCGAAGGAACAUUAUAUAAUUUCUGACCCCGGUAUUGCCACACCUACUGUCCCAUUACCGCUUCUGCAAUCCCGCUUCUGUGACUAUUCCACCGCAUCAACGUUUUUCAUUAAAAUGACAAUCUCCGCAUCUGUGACUAAACACCCGCACAUUCACUACCGCAGGUGCACCCACGACACUGCUUCUAUGGUUCCUGAAGGACUUCACUUUGGCCACAUCUGCGAUUGCUUUACGUAUCUGCGAUCAUCGCAUCUGCGGCCUCCCAAUCGCAGGUCCAGUAAUGACAGAACCAAAAGCUUCAACUACAACUCAAUUCCAAAUUCUUCCGUCAACCAUCCGAAAUUACCCCGAGGCCCUCAGGACCUUAACCAAAAGCACAAACGUAUCCCAACACCUUAUCCAAUCUUGUUCCAAUCUUCAAAACACCUUAAAUAAUAUCAAAUCGACGAAAACACAUCGGAUUCAAGCCAAACUUUCUAAAAUCUUCUGAAUUGCGCUUUUGAUCAAAAACCCAACCAAACCACGUUCAAAUGAACUAAAUUUUGCACUCACAUCCCAAAUGACACAAUGAAACUACUGCAACUUUCGGAAUUCCAUUCUGACCCAUAUAUCAAAAUCUUACCUAUCAACAGAAAAAUGCCAAAAUCUCAAUUUUGUCAAUUCAAGCCUAAGCCUUCCAUGGACCUCCAAAAUUCAUUCCGAUCACGCUCCUAAGUUCCAAAUCAUCUAAUGGAGCUAACUAAAUCAUAAAAGUCCCGAUCCGAGAUCAUAUACCAACAAGUCAAAUCUUGGUCAAACCUUUUAAAUUUCAAGCUUCGAACUGAGAAUUGUUCUUCCAAAUUCAUUUAGAUUACCCUGAAAAUCAAAACCAACAAUUUAUAUAAGUCAUAAUCCAUCACACGAGGAAAGUCAUGCCUGAGAAUUGAUGAAUAAAGUGCAAAAGCUCAAACGACUGGCUGAAUCAUUACAUACAAUCUGUAUUGUAGCUUUGUUAUUACUAAACACUUCAAUUGGUAGCUUGAUAUCAACCCCCACUUCCUUUAGCAACCCAAUUAACCAAAUAAGCUCUACCACAAAUAUUGCAAGACUACUCAACUUCUGCUGAGCUUCUAGAAACUGUAGUUUUCUUCUUUAAUUUUCACGACAUUAAGGAGUCUCCAAACUUGACUAAAUAACCUGAAACAUAUUUCCUUGAAAAUGAACAAGCAGCCCAGUCUGCAUUAAAAUAUGUUGAAAUAGUACUGUUGAAUUUGCUGGAGAGUAGUAUUCCUUGUCUUGGACUAUCCUUGAUGUACUUUGCAUUCUUAGAGCUGCUUCCAUGUGAGAUUUCAUUGGUCUUUAAAAGAACUGACUUAGUGUUUGUACACUAUAUGAAAUGUCUAGCCUUAUCAUUGUUAAAUAUAAUAUUUUACCUAUCAGUAUUUGAUAAAAAGGUGAAUCUGCCAAUUCUUCAUCCACCAAGAUAGUAGGUUUAGUUUUCCUGAGAUGUUCAUCAUAUUAUUUAGUUCUAAGUUUAAUAUUUUCAUCAAGAGGUGUAAUUGUUGGCUUAGCAGCUGCAACUCCUGCCUCAGAAAUCAUCUCCAAUGCAUAUUUCCUCUAGUGCAUAAGGAUCCCUUGUUUUGAUCUGGCAAAUUCUAUACCUAGGAAGUAUUCCAGUUCUCCUAGGUCUUUCAUUUUGAAAGACUUUUACAUAUGUGUGUUGGUUUCCUCUAUCAGUUUCAGAGAAUACCAGUAAAAAGCAUGUCAUCUACAUAGAUUAAAAUCAUCAUAAUACCUUCUGCAAUUUUCUUAAAGAACAUGGACUGAUCAUAUUAACUUUGAUGAAAUUGAGACCUCGGUAGUGCUUCUGUCAGUUUAACAUUCCAUUGUCGAGGAGCUUGUUUUAAGCCAUAUAAGGAUUCGACAAGUCUACAUACUUUAUUCUCCCCCUGACUUGGGAAUCCUUAGGGCAUAUCUAUGUAUAUCUCAUCCAGUAAAUCUCCCUGCAAGAAAGUAUUAUAUACAUCCAUUUGAUGUAUAUGCCAGUGUCUUGUAGCAGCUAUAGCAAGUAUAGUUCUUACAGUUUUCAUUUUUAUGACUGGAGAAAAAGUUACUUGAUAGUCUAUUCUCUCUUUUAGGCUGAAACCUUUAGCUACUAACCUAGCUUUAAACCUUUCUAUUUCACAAGAUGCCUUGUAUUUGAUCUUUUAGAUCCACUUGCAUCUGAUAGGGGUCUUACCAAUAGGUAGUCUCGGUAUGUCCCGUGAGUGAUUGUUUUGUAGAGCUUCAAUCAUAGGCUUCAUUGCAUCUAUCCAUUUAGGAUCUUUCACACCUUCUGAAUAAAGAGUUGGUUCAAUGAUAUUUGAAGUUGCGGUCAAGUAGGCUUGAUACUUGGAGGUUAAGUGUUCAUAGGUAAUGAACUUUGAUAUUUCAUAUGGUUAUCAUGUUGGGCAGUUAAUGACAUAAAAUCUUUCAGCCAUAUGGGUAGUUUUUUCCCUCUACCUGACUUUCUGACAUCUGAAUUAAUAGGGAGAUUGAUUGGAGUAGACUGUGGGACUUGAGCUACUGGUUCUAUGACUGGUAUUAUUUAUCAUAUUGUCUCCCUUGCUGGGAUGUUAUUUGUUAUGAUGUUGUCUCCCUUGCCGGGAUGUUAUUAUUUAUGAUAUUAUCUCUCUUGGCGGGAUGUUGUUUUUAUACUCUUGUUCACUUGCCGGAAUUCUUUAAUGACUGAUGUUAAAUUGUAAAUGGGAUCGGGUUGCACGUUGCAAUAGUAACAUAUGAAAUAGGAUCAUGCUGCAUACUGCAACCGUAAUAUAUAAAGUGGGAUCAGGUUGUACGCUGCAGCGGUAAUAUUAUAUGAAACGGGAUUAGGUUGCACGCCGCAACAGUAUCAUAUGAAAUGGGAUCGGGCUACACGCUAUAAUAAUAUUAUAUGAAAUGGGAUCAGGUUACACGCUGCAAUGGUAUUAUAUGAAAUGGGAUUAGGUUGCAUGCCGCAACGAUAAUAUUAUAUGACAUGGGAUAGGGUUGCACGCCGCAAUGAUAUUACAUAAUUUGGGAUCGAGUUGCACGCCGCAACAAGAAAGAAAUGAAAGUGAAUAUUGUGUUUGUUUUCCUUAUUCUUGUUGGCAAUUGAAUUAUAGUUAUUCUUUACAUUCUUCUGUUGGUAUUCUGUUGUUAUCUUAUACUCCCCGCAGCAUGUUUUCCCCCCUACAUCUUUAACUGUAAAUAUCUACUUUUAUUUUCUGAUGUAUUGAUUUAGCUACAUAGGUUUAUUUUAUUGUGGGUCCUACCCUCAUUACUACUUUGCCGAGGUUAGGUUACGCACUUACCAGCACAUAGGGUCGGUUGUGCUGAUACUACACUCUGCACUGUGUGCAGAUCCCGGUGUUAUAGGUGUCCGCAGGCCCUAGCGUCCCCUACUAUCUUUCCAUUCUGUUUCUUUCAAGUAUUUUAUUUAUUUUUCGAACUUUAUUUAUAGUAUUCCUAGACAGAUUGUGAAAUUGUGACACCAGUUCUGGGUAGCUUAUGUUAUGGAUUGGUGUUGGUAUCAUUAUUUAAUUGUUACCUCUCAAUCUUCCGCUUUAUAUUUCCAUUGUUUAUAUGAUGUUUGUUCACCAUUAUUAAAGAAUUAAAAUAUAUGAAAAAGGUUAAGUAAUUGGAACAAUUGGCUUGCCUAGCUUUCACCAGUAGGCGCCAUCACAAAUCCCGAGGGUGGGAAAUCUGGGUCGUGGCAAGUUGGUAUCAGAGCUAUAGGUUACUUAGGUCUCGAAAUUCAUGGACAAACUUUGUAGAGUCUUAGGGAUCGGUACAGAGACGUCUGUAUUUAUUCUCUAAAGGCUACAGGGUUAGGAAAAACAUCACAUCUACUCUUUCCUAUCGUGCGAUUUGGUUUCUCAAUGAUAAUUGAGUUUCUACUCUGUUCUUUUGCAGAUGAACACGUGCUCCUCAUCUAAUGAUCAUUAGCCCGAAACCCCAGUAACAACUCACAGAGGGGGAGAGGGCGAGGCCGUGCUAGAGGCUGAGGUGGGGGUGGAGCUCAUCCCAGAGCUGUAGCACCAGCAGCGGAGCCUCAGGUUGAGUUUGAUGAUGAGGUUCUGGCCCAGGCAACUCUAAUGGGCCCAACUCAGGUCCAGAGGGGUUCAUUGCUACCCAGUACUCCGAGAUGCUCUGGUCUGUCAAAUGGGUCUUAUGGAGAGUGUCAUCCCGACAGGCUUAGUACCAGCUGUCUCUCAAGCCGGGGGAGGAGCACAAACUCCUGCUACUCAACUACGGAGCAUAUGGCUCCCCAGUUUCAGACUCCAAAAGCUCAGCCAGUUGGAGUAGUCCAACCGGGUGUGGUAUCUCAGACCGGUGAUGAAGCAGUUAUGUCUAUUGAUGCCUUAUGGAGAUUGGACAAGUUUAACAAGAUCUUCACUACCACUUUCAGGUAUGCAUAUUUUGAGGAUCCCCAAGAUUAUUAAGACAGCUGUCAUGAGGUUCUCAGAAACAUGAGGAUAGUGGAUAUUAAUGGGGUCGACUUUGCUUCUUUUCACUUAUCAGGAUCCGCCUAGACUUGGUGGAAAGAUUAUUGUUUGUCUAGACCAUUUGGAUCACUAGCUUUGACUUGGGAUCAGUUUUCUCAGUUAUUUUUGGAGAAGUUUCUUCCCAUCACUUAGAGGGAGAACUAUCGGAUGCAGUUUGAGCAUCUCCAAUAGGGUUCUAUGACCGUUACAUAGUACGAGACCAGAUUUAUUGACUUGGCCCAUUAUGCUCUUUCAGCCUGUUCGAUUACAGAUGGCUAAAGAGGCGGGUAGCGAAAUUUCUUUUCAGGAUGUGGCCAAUAUGACUAGGAGAGUUGAUAUGGUUCUAUCACAAUGGGGUGGUCAAAGGUUUUACAAGAGACCUCAUCGUUCUGGUAGGUUCAGUAGUGCCACAUCUCGGGGCAGGGAUUCUUUUGGUGGGGCCAUCCUUCUUGGCCCUUUUAUUCAGCACUUUAGGCUUCUCAAGGUGCUCUAGGUGGUUGUAGUUCUCACAUGCAAUUCUGAUCAGCAAUCCUAUAGUGCAUUGCCAGCUCCUAUCAGUGCACCUCCAUUUCAAUGUUUUUAGGGUUUUCAGCCCCCAGCCGUCGAGGGCUUGUUUUACUUAUGGAGACAUGAGGUAUAUUGCUAGAUUUUGGCCUCGAGCACUGAGCAGUUCUCAGCACCAGAGUUCCCAUGCCAUGGUUCAAGCAUCGAGUGUUCCACCCCUUCCUCAGCCAGCUAGAGGUUGAUGUAGGAGUGCUAGAGGUGGAGGUAGAGGUAUUAGAUAUGUAGUUCGGAGAGGUGGAGGCCAGCAAACAAGAGGCCAUCCUAGAGAUGUAGUUCAGAGUGGUGGCCCAGCCCCGAUAUUUAAUGUGGAGGUAGAGGUAUUAGAUAUGUAGUUUGUAGUAAGGAUGCUUCAGUGCUAUUUGAUCCAGGGUCUACAUAUUCAUAUGUGUCCUCUUAUCUGGCACCGUAUUUGAUCAUACCUAGUGAUUCAUUGAGUGCUCAUGUAUAUGUGUCUAUACCGAUGGGUGAUUCUAUUAUGAUAGAUCGUGUCUAUCAUUCUUGUAUAGUGGUGAUUGGGGGUCUUGAGACCCGAGUAGACUUAUUACUUUUGGACAUCAUUGAUUUUGAUGUCAUAAUUGGGGUGGACUGGUUAUCCCCUUACCACACUAUCUUGUAUUGUCAUGCCAAGACAGUGACCUUAAAAUUACCGGAAUUUCCUCGUUUAGAGAGGAGACAGACUCCUGGUCAUUCUACCAAUAAGGUUACUUUAUAUAUGAAGGCUCGGCGUAUGGUCGAGAAGGGGUGUUUGGCUUAUUUGGCAUAUAUUCGUGAUUGUGGUGUUGAGGUUCCUUCAAUGGAUUUUGUGCAUGUCGUUCUUGAGUUUCCUGAGGUGUUUCCUUCAGACCUAUCGGGCAUGCCACCUAACAGGGAUAUUGACUUCUGCAUUGAUUUGGCUCCGGGCGCAGCCCAUUUCUAUUCCGAUGUAUCAUAUGGUCCCUCUUGAGUUGAAAGAAUUGAAGGAGCAGUUGCAAGACUUGCUUGUAAAGGCUUCAUUAGGUCUAUUAUCUCGCCUUGGGGUGCGCCAAUGUUAUUUUUUAAGAAGACAGACAGAUAGAUGAGGAUGUGUAUAGAUUACCCGCAGUUGAACAAGGUUACAAUCAAGAAUAAGUAUCCAUUACCGAGGAUUGAAGAUUUGUUUGAUCAGCUUCGGGGUGCCAAGGUAUUUUCGAAGAUUAACUUGAGAUCUGGCUACCAUCAGUUGAGGAUUAGGGCAUCUGAUGUCCCUAAGAUAGCUUUCUGCACUCGGUACGGGGACUAUGAGUUCUCGGUGAUGUCAUUCGGGUUGAUAAGUGCCCCAUCAGUUUUUAAGGAUUUGAUGAAUCAAAUGUUCAUGCCUUACUUGGAUUCGUUCGUGAUAGUCUUCAUUGAUGAUUUUUUAUCUAUUCCCGUAGCUCGGAGGAGCAUGAGUAGCAUCUUAGGUAAGGGCAUUAUGAGUUGUUGGUGAUAUCAUUUGGGAUGACAAACGUCCCAGCCGCUUUUAUGGAUUUGAUGAAUUGAGUGUUCAAGACUUACAUGGAUUCGUUUGUCACACCACCUUUUUUCGCUAUACACCCCCGCAAAGGGGCGUAAAGGAGUUUUUCCAAUUAAAGGACAAUCGAUCGGGAUUUGUUUAUUAUUUAUUCAGAGUCGCCACUUGGGAAAUUAAUGGUGUCCCAAGUCACCGAUUGAAUCCCAAACCGAGAAAAAAGAUGCUCUGUUCGCAGUCCGCAAACCAGAAAUCCGGAUAAGGAAUUUUGUUAACCCGGGAGAAGGUAUUAGGCAUUCCCGGGUUCCGUGAUUCUAGCACGGCCGCUCAACUGUUGUAUUUAACUUUAACUGAUUUUAUUACAUGAAGAACCUAUGUGCCAAUUUUUACUUUUUACCGCUUUUAUUUAAUAUAAUAUUUAUUUAACAGAAAGUGAACGUCGUUUAAAGUGUGUUUUCGGAUUGCGCCACAUCAAAUGAAUCUGCAAUCCUAGGCACACUCUAUUCAACGUUUUAGGAUUUGGAUUUGGGCCGCAUAAAAUGUCCGCCCGUAUUUAAGAAGGUAAUUUUAUUAAAAGAACACGCCUAAAGCGACGAACGCAUUAUUAACUUUGAGGGAGGCCAUGAAAAUAAGCUAAUUGGCGUGUCUUGAGUUCUAAGUAUUUUAAAGAAGUAAUUAAAGAGGGCCAUGCAAUUUGUCAUUUUGUUUGGCACGGCUCACCUCGACUAAUCUAAUUUUUUUUAUAAAAAAAAAAAGAGGCUAAAUUAAAAAAUUGCUAUUCUUGGGUCAAAUAAAGACAAUAAAAGAUAUCCACCAAUAUAGAACUAAAUCUCAAAUCUCAACUGUAAUAUGCAUUAAACAAUUACCAACUACCAGUACAUAGAAACCGAAUUCUCUGUUAUUAGCAAAAUAAGUUUAACGCCAUUUCUAGAGUUGUUAUGCGUUGGCAUUCCUUUCACAAAGAAUCUCUACUCCUAAUUACAAGAUUCACCUCGAAAUGACUUUACUAACAAAUUGAUUUCUAACAUUUUUAACCUUCAUGAAUCAGAACCAAUCAACAGAACCUUCAUAUUCCAAAUAAGAAUGAACUUGGGAGAUACAGCUAUAACACUAAGACAACAAACGAACAUGAACCUUUAUCUGUCAACAUUGAAAGCAUUAGCAAACUGAUUUUGAGUCCUAAAGAAAUUAUGAAACAGCCGUUAAUUUCUAACAAAUGGGACCCAAGAAUAUUUGAUUGGAAUCAGCAUGGAUCAUUUGCAUUCAACAGAGAAACAUAUUUUAGUUACCAACAACUAGUGAGCUAGACACACACACUCCAUUGAGAGCAUCGCACAGAUUUAAACUGGAGAAAGAUUAACUCAAACACUACUGCCGAAAUAGCAGAACUAAUUUUCUCUUUCGGACAGUGAUAACCAGCAACAAAAUAACAGCGAUAAAUCACAAAUCGCGAAGCGUUUGGAGUUAGAGUGGAGAGGGUGGAGAUUUGUCUCUUCGGCACAAUAGUCAUAAACGCAGGCCUCAACAGUUCAUACUUAGCUAGGCGAUUGUGAUUUCAACUGAAAUUUUAGCUAUUCACUCCAGAAUCAGACGGAUUUAGUCGACAAUCCAAAUUAACAUAUAAUUCAACCGUCCAAAUUAUCACAUAAACAAAAUUGAUGACAACGGCAAUUAACCAACAAUCCAACUAGAAGAAUAGAAGGAAUCAAACAUAUUCGCAGAUUCGAUAAUCCGACUAUUCAUUCAUAUUCAAAGGAAAAUUUCGAGACAAUGUGUACAUACCUAGGCAGCCGAAAUUAACUGAAGGAAAGCAACAACAAACUUCUGAUAAUAUGAGAGGAGAUCUGGCAACAUAACAGCAACAGACCAGCGAUCAACACGAGUUCAACUCGACGAUAGCAGACAACGGUUCAAUCCGCCAGAUUUCUCAGCUAGCGCCAUGAAUCGGAAGCUCUAAGCCCAAAUUUCACUUGACAUUCCAGAAAAUCUAAGUAAAAACAAAGUAGAAGUGCGGAUAACUUUCAAAUCCCCCUUUGUUUCUAUUUUGGUUUGUAUUUGAAACUCUCCUUUGAAUUUUUCAAAGCUGGGCUUGAAUUUUGGACAUGAAUCGAUGGCACUUGUCUAGAGGAAAAAUGAAGAACUGAAGAAUCCGUUGCUGUGUGUGUUCUCAGAGAAGGGAAGCUUGGGUGUGGAAAAUCUCCUCCUUCUUGUUGUUCUGUUCUCUAUAUUUUGUAUGUGAAAGGAGCGAAGAAGAAGGAUUGAAAAUUAGGGAAUGAGACACGCAUUUUUCGUGG